rnacentral:lncRNA from 1 species
GCCGCGGUGGCGGCGGAGAGUGGGCUCGGAUUCCGCGACACGGAGAGGCGCGUCAGGAUGGGGUUGGCGCGGGGGGGGCUCCGCGGCUGACGUGGGGACUCGUCGGAGGACUCGGCGUCGGUGGUGUCGCCGCCAUCGGAGGAGUAGUUUUCGUCCGGCUUUGGGUCGCCGCUCGCCAUGGCCGUCGGUCGUGCUCGUGACACUGCUGUUCGCGUGUACGCGCACGCGCGUGUCCUUAGCAGCAGCAGCUCGUCACGGGUACAAGUUGCGGUGGGACUUCGUAUUCGUAAGAUUCAGCUUUUACCGUUCUUUGCCCGUGCAAUGGGAGCAAUGCAAAUACCGAUGCAUGCUAAAAAAAACAGUUUGGUCUAUUGAAAUAAUGAUUUUUAGCGCGUCGGAAAACACUGACUUCAAUGAUUGCCGUAAAAGAUAGCGCGUGAGAGCCCCAUACCUGACCAAACGAGCCGGCCCGACACGGCCCAUGGUAAUCGGGCCUGGCACGGCACGGCCCGUCCAGGCACGUUUAUUAAUCGGGUCGUGUCGUGUCAGCCCGUGGGCUGCGCCUCUAGGCCUGUAAGAUUUGAGAGAGAGAGGUUUUGGAUCAGCACACUUUAUUCAAUCUAAACCAUGAUGUCUAACAGAAAACCCUAAGGAGGUAGUCAGCGGCAGCAAUCGUGCGAGGUGGGUUAGUGCUGGGUUAUCGAUUCCGAGGCAUGCGGACGUGCAUGCGUGCUGGGUCAUCGCCAUGCAUGGGCUUGCUUGAGGGCCAAGUCGGCCGACGCCAUGGGCUGUAGUGAGGUCUAUUCCAAAACCACCCCUCCCCCCCCCCCCCCCCCCCCCCCCCGCCCCCCCCCCGCCGGGGCGACACACAGNNNNNNNNNNNNNNNNNNNNNNNNNNNNNNNNNNNNNNNNNNNNNNNNNNNNNNNNNNNNNNNNNNNNNNNNNNNNNNNNNNNNNNNNNNNNNNNNNNNNUAAGAGUGGAAGAAUCAUUAAUUUUCACUGGUUAAAUCUUUUUAUAAAAAUAAUUUGAAACUAGGUUUUAAAUAAAAAAGAAAAGGGGCAACAGCCCUAGCCUGGCUUGGCCUGCAACUGCGCCGGCCAAGUGGCCAGCCAACCAGCCUGCCCACGCGCGCGCACCGUUAGGUUUGAACCUGCCGUGCGAGCCCCUACGGUUAGCAGCUGUGGGGAGCGAGGGAGAGAGAUAUGGGCCACCGACAGGUGGGGCACACCUGUCAGGGUCGUCUCCUACAUGUGGACAGAGAGGAGGAGGAGCACGCUGGCGUGGCUACCGACAUCCUCAGGCCCUAACAACGCCAGGAAUGGGUUCGGCUCAUCGUCACCUACCUGUUGGUUCACCGGCGACGAGGUGGCCACGACGGAGAGGUUUCGGUCAAUGUUGGAGGUGGUGGCUACGGGCACUGGUUUUCUCGGGGAAGAAGGGGGAAAUGAUCCUGGUGUCACGGGGAGUGUGCAUGUGGGCAGAGGGACGUGAGAACCGUUGUGUAGCCGGAGAUCGACCGGAGCUCCGAGGCGGAGAUGCCUCUGGCGAUAUCGAGCACCGGGGCUCUGCUUGCUCAAUGGGGUGUCUACGGAGCUGAUUGGGGUCUAGGUGGAGGCGAGGGGCUACAAAUAGGCCCGCAACGAUGAGCCAACUCGGGUGCGCCGGUGAUCCCACUGUGGCACGCAUGGGGGUGCAGAGAGAGGCUGGGGUCGAAACCAUGGUCUCAAGCGUUGGUUUUGUACCUCCUGGACUCACCGCGAGAGAGGGGAGAGAGGAGUGGCGUGCAUGCGUGGCCAUGCUCCUCUGACCGCUACUGGUGCGCGCAGGCACACGACGCACCGGCUGUCAGCGCAUGAAAGGACGGCCCUAGGAACUACCUGAUGCACAGGUGCUGUCGGGUGAGAGGAGAGACACCGCGGGGAGCCUGGAACUGGCCAAGGGAGUCGUCCCCACCUCGGUUGCUCUCUGUAGUGCGCCAAGAGCACAGCUUUGGCAUGCCACGGCAUGCUGGCGCGCUCUGGGUGCCUUGGACACGUCUGGCGUGUCCUGGACCCUUGUUGGGAGAUACCUAGCCGUUUGAAUCCCGUGGNNNNNNNNNNNNNNNNNNNNNNNNNNNNNNNNNNNNNNNNNNNNNNNNNNNNNNNNNNNNNNNNNNNNNNNNNNNNNNNNNNNNNNNNNNNNNNNNNNNNCCCAUGGUACAUCGAGAUCAAGACAUCUCAAGAACACGAGAGAGAGAUCAAACACAUAGCUACUGGUACAUACCCUCAACCCCGAGGGAGAACUACUCCCUCCUCGUCAUGGAGAUCGCUGGGAUGAUGAAGAUGGCCACCAGAGAUGGAUUCCCCCUCCGGCAGGGUGCCAGAACGGGCUCCAGAUUGGUUUUUGGUAGCUACAAAGGCUUGCGGUGGCAGAACUCCCGAUCUAGGUUUCUUUUUGGAGGUUUCUGAAUUUAUAGGAAUUUAUGGCGGUGGAAUUACAUCGGUUGGGCCCACGAGGAGGUCACAAGCCUGCCCUGCGCCACCUAGGGGGGCGGUGGCGGCGUCAGGGCUUGUGACUCCCUCGUGGCUCUUCUCGCCUUCUUCCAAAGCUUCGGGGGUCUCUUUUGGUCCAAAAAAAUCAUCGUAAAGUUUCACUCCAUUUGGACCUCGUCCGAAAAUGGGCCAAAAGCACGGAAAAAACAGAAACUGGCACUUGGCACUGAGUUAAUAGGUUAGUCCCAAAAAAGAUAUAAAAUAGCAUAUUCAUGCAUAUAAAACAUCCAAAGUUGACAAGAUAAUAGCAUGGAACCAUUAAAAAUUAUAGAUACGUUGGAGACGUAUCAAGCAUCCCCAAGCUUAACUCCUGCUCGUCCUCGAGUAGUGAAGUGAUAAAGAAAGAAUUUUUGAUGUUGCAUGCUACCUAGCAUAGUUGUCCUUUGUAACUUCUCUCACGUGACAUGAAUGUUCAGAUCCGUUAGAUUCAAAACAAUAGUUUGCUAUUGAUGCGGAGACAAUAAUAAUUUAAGCAAACUAGCAAGGUAAUCAUGAACUUUCAAAAUAACAAGGCCAAAAGAAAGUUAUCCCUACAAAAGCAUAUAGUCUGUAUAUGCUCUAUCAUCAUUGCACAACGAAUUUAAAUCAUGCACAACCCCGGUAUUGGCCAAGUAAUUGUUUCACACCUUUACUUUCUCAAACCUUUUCAACUCUCACGCAAUACAUGAGCGCGAGCCAUGGUUUUAGCACUAUAAGUGGUGUGGAGUGUGGUGGAGGUUGCAAGACAAAACAUGAUAAGAUGAUCACAUUAACUAGGCGUAUCAAUAAGCUGCGGAGAUGCUCAUCAAUAGAUAUCAAUGUGAAUGAGUAGGGAUUGCCAAACAAAUGAUGCACUAGAGCUAAGAGUAUGUGAAAGCCCUUAAAGAAAACUAGUGGGUGUGCAUCCAACUUGCUUGCUCACGAAGACUUAAGGCAAUUUUGAGGAAGCCUAUCACUGGAAUAUACAAGCCAAGUUAUAUAAUGAAAAUUUCCCACUAGCUAUAUGGUGGUGACAAAACAAGAGACUCUUAAUCAUGAAGAUCAUGAUGCUUAAUAUGCACAAGUAUUGAAAAGUGGUAGCAUUGUCCCUUCUCUCUUUUUCUCUCGUUUUUUAUAUAAUUUUUUGGUGGGCUCUUUGGCCUCUUUUUUUUGGUGGGCAUCUUUGGCCUCUUUUAUUUCCUCACAUGGGACAAUGCUCCAUCAAUGAUGAUCAUCACACUUUCAACUCAAAACUUAGAGCAACGAUGACUCUAUAUGGAAUGCCUUCGGUAGUGUACCGUGACAAUGAUCUAGCAUGGCAUAGACAUUAAUGGAAACAUCAUGCUAGCUAUCUUACGAUCAUGCAAUGACAAUGUAGACGUGGUGGCACAUGUCAUGGUGGUAGUUGCAUGACAAUAUAUCUCAGAAUGACUUUGAAAAAGACAUAGUAGGUAGGUAUGGUGGCUGUUUUGAGGGAGGCUAAUGGUGGGUUUUGUGCACCGGCGAAAGUUGCACGGCACUAAGAAGAUAGUGAUGGUGGAAGGUGAAAGUGCAUCUAAACCUUGGACUCAACAUUAGUCAUGAAGAACUCAUAUACUUGUUGCAAAAGUUUUAUUAGUAAUCGAAACAAAGCAUUCAACGCAUACUCCUAGGGGAAGGGUUGGUAGGUAUAAACCAUCGCGCGAUCCCGACCGCCACGCAAAGUAUGACAAUCAAAAGACUAAUCAUGCUCAGACUUCAUCACAUAGCGGUUCACCAUACGUGCAUGCUACGGGAAUCACUAACUUCGACACAAGUAUUUCUAGAUCCACAACACCUUAUUAGCAUGACUUCAAUAUUACCAAAACCACAACUCAAAACUAAUUGAGAUGAAUCAAACUUCUCCUAAGUAUUCAAUGCACAUGAAGGUGGAAGUUUUCGUAUCCCUUUGGAUAACUACCCCUUUUGAGACUACUUUCAAAGCAUAGAUCAACUACCAAGCCACGCACCGCUGCACUCUAAAAGAUAUAAGUGAAGCACAUAGAGCAAAAGUAUCUAGCUCACAAGAUAUAAGUGAAGCACAUGUGAGCUGUGCUCUAAAAGAUAUAGGUGAAGCACACAGAGCAAAAGUAUCUAGCUGAAAAGAUAUAAGUGAAGCACAUGUGAGCUGAAUUGUCUACCAAAGGAUAUAAGUGAAGCUCGACAAAAUCACGAUGAGUGCAUAUCUCUCUCUCUCUAGGUGUGCAGCAAGGAUGAUUGUGACACAACAAAAAUAAAAGACUCCUACAAUACAAGACGUUCCAAGCAAAACACAUAUCAUGUGGUGAAUAAAAAUAUAGCCCCAAGUAACGUUACCGAUGGAUCGAAGACGAAAGUGGGGAUGCCUUCCCGGGGCAUCCCUAAGCUUAGGCUUUUACGGCAUCCUUGAAUCAACUUGGGGUGCCUUGGGCAUCCCCAAGCUUGAGCUCUUGCCACUCUUUAUCUCUUUGUCCAUAAGAACUUCACCCAAAACUUGAAAACUUCACAACACGAAACUUAAACAGAAACUCGUGAUAACAUUAGUACAAGAAAGCAAACCACCACUUCCUUAGGUACUGUAGAAAACUUAAAUUCUACUUAUGCUGAUGUUGGAUUACUGUAUUUUCAAUCUUCCAUGGCUAAUACCCUCCGAUACUAUCCAUAGUUUCAUCAAAAUAAGCAACCAACUCAACAAAAAAGAAUUUGUUAAUAGCAGACCAGUCUGUAGCAAUCUGUAUACUUCGUAUACUUCUGGUACUUCAAAAAUUCUGAAAAAUUACGACAGUCUGAAGAAUUUGCGUAGAAAUCAUAAGCAGAAAGAAUCAACUCAAAAGCUUUUACAGAAAAAAUGAAAUUUCUUUUCAUGGGCAGAAAGUUUCUGUCUUUUCCAGCAUGACCAAACGAUCAUCCCCAAGACUAAUCAUAACGGUUUUGCUUGGCACAAACGCAAAAAGAAACACAAAAGACAGAAUCAUAACAGAAUUAUGAAAGUGUGGAAAACACAAAACAGGAAGCAAAAAGCAAAGAAAAAUUCAUUCAUUGGGUUGCCUCCCAACAAGCGCUAUCGUUUAACGCCCUUAGCUAGGCAUUGAUUUCAAUGAUGCUCACAUAAAAUGUAAGGAUUGAAACACAACGAGAGCAUCAUGGAGCAUAUGGCUAGCACAUUUAAGUCUAACCCACUUCCUAUGCAUAGGGAUUUUGUGAUCAAAGAAUUUAUUGGAGCAAGAAUCAACUAGCAUAGGAAGGCAAAACAAGCAUAGCUUCAAAAAUUUCAACAUAUGGAGAGGAAGCUUGAUAUUAUUGCAAUAAGUAGAAGCAUAUGAUCCUCUCUCAUAGUAAUUUUCAGUAGCAUCAUGAAUGAAUUCAACAAUAUAACCAGCACCUAAAGCAUUCUUUUCAUGAUCUACAAGCAUAUAAAUUGUACUACUCUCCACAUAAGGAAAUCUAUUCUCAAGAAUAGUAGUGGGAGUAUCGUAAAAGACUUGAGCACUACAAAUUGUGUCCACAAUGAAAAAUCAAGGUUGAGCACAGGGGUUCUUGAGAGUAUGACAAGUUUUAUCAUCCCUCUUCUUCAAAGCAUAAGUAUCCUCACAAUAAUCAUCAUAGAUAGGGGGCAUGCUUUCAUCAAAAUGAUUUUGAUCAUUCAAAGUGGAAGAACUAAAAAGAUCAUCUUUAUCAAAUAUAGCAUCCCCAAGCUUGUGGCUUUGCAUAUCAUUAGAAUCAUGGGUAUUCAAAGAGUUCAUGCUAAGGACAUUGCAAUCAUGCUCAUCAUUCACGUAUUCUAUUCCAAGCAUUCUAUGAAAUUCUUCUUUCAACACUUGAGCAAAAUUUUCCUUCCCAUCAUGCUCACGAAAGACAUUGAAAAGAUGGAGCAUAUGAGGCAUCCUCAAUUCCAUUUUUUUGUAGUUCUCUAGCAAAAGAACAAGAAACAAAAAGAUUCGAUUGCAAGAUCUAAAGAUAUACCUUCAAGCGCUAACCUCCCCGGCAACGGUGCCAGAAAAGAGCUUGAUGUCUACUACACAACCUUCUCCUUGUAGACGUUCUUGGGCCUCCNNNNNNNNNNNNNNNNNNNNNNNNNNNNNNNNNNNNNNNNNNNNNNNNNNNNNNNNNNNNNNNNNNNNNNNNNNNNNNNNNNNNNNNNNNNNNNNNNNNNUGUCUGUACCCAGACAGUCUAUAACUCUUCCGCUGGCUUGUAUUUGUAUGACUGCUAUUAUGGGUCGAGAGACCUUAAUGUGUAAUAUUAUGUGUGUGGCUCUUCCGAGCCUCUUGAAUAAAGGUUGUAUGUUUAUGGUUAUGUUGUGAUGCCAUCGAUGCAUCUAUACAUAUCGGUAUGCCAUGCGUACGUGUGUCAUACUUGAUAUGUAUGGGGUUCGAAUACCUAGUCGUGAACUUUAGUAGCACUCCUUACAAGGAAAUGCCCCUUUGUGAUCCAACGAGCCUUGGUAGUCCGCUACUGCUCCGGACACAUUGGUUGACUGGCAUGUGUCCUUCUUAGCUGUUGUGUCUGUCCUCUUUGGGGAAAUGUCACGCGACGUAAUGGAGUCCUUGUAGCUUGCUACAACUCGUCUACGUUCGCUGAUGACCGACACCUGCUUUGUUGGGUCAUGUAUGCCUGUCCUUGUGCGGAACUGCCACUUUGAUUUAUGACUAGACAUGUCGAUCCGGGUUCUUUGACAUUGGAUUGCUAGCGACACCUAUUGCAGCCGUGGAGUUAACCGUGCGUGAGACCACAAAGAGAUGCGAUGUGUUACAGGCUGGAUUCCUAUGGCUUAGGAUCGGGGUCCCGACAAAAGUCCCCUCCGGCAGGGUGCCGGGAAGGGUCUCCAGAUGAGAUCUCGCGGAAACGGAAGCUUGCAACGGCGGAAAAGUAUUUUCGAGGCUCCCAUGAUUUUUUGCGGAAUAUUUGGGAAUUUAUAGGCCAAAGACCUAGGUCAGGGGGCGGCCAGGGAGGCCACAAGCGUGCCCACCGCCGCCUCCCCCUGGUGGCGGAGUGGGGACUUGUGGGCUCCCUGGAGCCCACAUGGCUUGGCCCAAAAAAACCCUGGUCUUCUUCCGUUCGGGAAAAAAUCAUUUCGGGGUUUUUCUUCCGUUUGGACUCCGUUCCAAAAUCAGAUCUGAAAAGAGUCAAAAACACCGAAAAAACAGGAACUGGCACUUGGCACUGAAUUAAUAAGUUAGUCCUAAAAAAGAUAUAAAAGGUACAUAAAACAACCAAAGAAGACAAGAUAACAACGUGAAACCAUCAAAAAUUAUAGAUACGUUUGAGACGUCUCAUAUACUCAGACACAGUGUUGUUUCCUUGCCUAGCAGAGUUAAAUUUUUCUGUCAAAUCAUGAGAACCCUGUUCAGAAAAUCUCUUGUUCAGUUCAGCACAAAAUUGUUUCCAAGUCAACUAUUUCUUGAGGAUGCCAGAUCUUCUUAACCAUGUAUUAGCUUCACCAAUGAUAUAUAGCUGAGAUAGAGAUACUUUGUAUUCUUCUGGAGCUGCUGACAUUUGAAAAUACUUGUUACAUUGCCUGAUCCAUCCAACUGGAUCUGUUCCCUCAACCUAGGGAAAUGUAAUUUUGGACCCUUUGUCAAAGACUUCAUGAACUGAGCUUGCAUGUCUUGUUCAUAUGUCAUGUAAUAUCCCUGCCACAUCUGUCUGUCUCUGUUGGUUUGAUAAAACUUGUUGAAAAGAGGAGUCUGACCACCAUCUCUUGUUGUCAAAGGUGUUCCUAUAGCACUCACAUUCUCUGUUCUCUGUUGAUUGUCAUAACCAGGAGGGACAGUUUGUCUCUGCACCUUAAGAGGUGGCAGAUGAUGUGUUUGGAUAUCUUCCAUUUGUUUGGUUUUUUCCUUUUCAAGUUCCAAUUGUUUUCUCAAAAAUUCAUUUCUCAGAUGUUGUUCUUGCACAGCUUCCUGAUGCAGAGUAGGAGAACGAGUUGUCUGACUAGAGCUUGUCAGAUUAGUUCCUCCCACAUUUUGCCCCGCAGGUGGGAUCAAAGUUUGCAGAGCUUGACUGAUAGUUGAUAGUUGCUUACUCAUAUCCAAUACUGCCUUCUCAAUACUGCCAACAUGUUUAGAUAUAUCACCUUGUUUGGAAUCGAUUGAAUGCAUGUCUUCCUGCAACUUGGAUACAUCACUGCGCAAACUUGCAUUGUCCUUUUGCAGAACACCGAAGUCAUCUCGUAGUGACAGUAUUUCUUGCACAUCGGCCUCAUCAAGAGCUGCCUUGCACCCCAUCGCCUCGAUCUAAGUCACUGGUUAGGAAUUUUACCACUGAUGAACAACAACCCUUCCUGUAACUCAGAUCCUGCCGCCGCCGCGCUCCUCGCCACCCGUAGAAGCAUACAGAUCAGUGCUCGGAUGUGGGAUUUUAUGAACCGAACAGGGAGUUUGAUCAACCACUCCUGCUCUGCGGACCUAUGCCCGAACAAAUCACCGCCACCAGCGCCACCAGUAACCCGUCGAUUUGCCGUACUCCGCCGCCAGCGUCUCCUCGAUCUCUCUCUCAAAUCAGGGUGGGAAAAGGGUGGGAAUCCUAGCUCUUACGAAGAAAUUCAUCCAUGGACCCUCUAACUCCGAGGAUCGUUGGCUCUGAUUACCAAUGUGUGAGGACCCGGUCGAUCUAUUGGACGAUAGCUUGUGGAGAAAGGGGAAAGUUCAUCCCAGAUGUAUAGUAUAUUCGAAGUAUAUGCUUGUUCGAUGACAAGAGUGCAAAGAUUAACGAUAACAACUAGCCACAACCCGGCAACUUAUAUAGGCUAAAGGGUUUUACCGAAAAGGGAAAGCUACAGUAGCGACAAUGGUUUUACNNNNNNNNNNNNNNNNNNNNNNNNNNNNNNNNNNNNNNNNNNNNNNNNNNNNNNNNNNNNNNNNNNNNNNNNNNNNNNNNNNNNNNNNNNNNNNNNNNNNNNNNNNNNNNNNNNNNNNNNNNNNNNNNNNNNNNNNNNNNNNNNNNNNNNNNGGAAGAGGCUGCUCAAGAAGGCCUCCGAGCUCUCCGUGCUCUCCGACAAGAUGUACAGAACCUGUUUGAUGUAAUGCACAUGAGGGUGGAGAGAGGUGGAAGAACUUGGUUGACGUGUGGGCUCUAUUUGUAAUAACGGUCAAAGUUAACGUUCAACCUGACUUGUGGCCCAACAUGUUAGAAAGGCGUUUAGAAGAAGUAAAUGAAGCAGUUUUCAUAGUUGGUAGUUUUUAGCAACAGAUUAGAAAAAAUGAUAAUUUUCAGCACAAAUGUGUAAAUCGGUAGUUACUGGACACGUUUUCAUGAAAUAUGGUAGUUUUUGGUUAAAUACCUCACAUGCGAAGGGCCGAAAAAUGGGGCAGUCUACCAAACACAUCAUACGUGGCUAAUGGACGAGCGUGCCAAGGACAUCCGGUCUAUUCAUUCUGGUUUGGCAUGAUCUUGGAAUAGGUUAAAGAGGAGGUGUUCUUCCAGGCAUAUGACUCAAGACAUGGCGUAGUGCAUUGAAGUGGCACUCUGCUAUGUAUCAGGGCAAUCGUAAUGCUACACUGUGUUAUAUAUCAUGGACGCCAAUGUUGCAUGACAUCAGCUCCUACUGGCCAUUCGAACGAACGGUCAUUCGCGCUGGAGGGAGGAACCCAACAAAGGCAUGCGAACCCCAUGCUCCUUCCGAGACAACCCCGGUUCACCUCCUCUCUUGAGUGGCCAUGGGAAAUCUGCCCGCAUAACACUUGAUUUGAGUGUAUCAAUCGGUUGAUCACGCAAUCGAGAUAAUGACCUGCCAGCGUAUCGUCCCCAGCCCUCUCAAAUUCCACUGAUUUCAAGUGAAAAAUAAGAAAGAAUACAAACCACUAGAUUUUCCAUGGUGGAAAAAGUAGUUGAUUUGCCAUGUACCAAACAGGGGAGGGGGCGGAGGAAAAAAUGCACGAUAGGAGAUUUUUGCCAUGAGAAUUGGCAUAUAUUCUUCAUCACAUUGCAGUAAAUGACUGGGACUAGUGUGAUUUGGUAGGGAAAAUAUAGCAUAAAUUUUCCCACCACACUAUAGCAGCCCCCCACCUCACCCCACCCCAACACCCACAUGUGUAGUACACAUGGAUGGGAAUUAACUGAAAUGUGUGAAAUUGCCAUGAGGGAGAUAACAAGGAAAGAUGUUAAUCUUAAAGCACACUAAGGCAUAGCCUAGUGGUGGAAAGGGGCCGGGUGUCUUCUCACUCAUCAAGGAUCAAGAUAUGGCNNNNNNNNNNNNNNNNNNNNNNNNNNNNNNAAAAAAAAAAAGAUCAAGACAUGGUACUUGCGGUUUAGAUUUGUUGCACCCAUUAUACUAUUGGGUCCACCUUACGGUCUUUCUGUCAAAAAAAGUGACUGGUAGAAUUAUGUUGGUGUAACAAGAUGUAGUGGUCAAAAUUUGUAGUGGCAGUACAAACAAAGUUGCCAUGAGUUUGUAACGGCAUUUUUCAUCUGGGAUAGUGCAUGAGGAUUGGAACCCCUCCUUUGUGAAUAAAAAUGGUGUUUGUGUUGUUGCAAAAAAAUCAUUUGCCAUGCAAAUUGAAUGGGAUUUGCCAUGUAAAUGAGCAUAAACUUGCAUGUAGUAAAGAAAGAAAAAUAUGUUUGUUAAGAUUUUGCUGAGAAACCAAGAUGGUUAUGAUAUGUGGGUCAUAAGAGCAAUUCCAACGCGGUGACCCAAGCGGGUACGGGUUUUGUCUGGAUUUUGUUCGUUUGGGUCGUCCGUCCGUCUAGCGAACAUGAGACAGACACACGUGGGCGGUGGACGAAUCCAACACACAAGAUGCAAAAAGCGGACAAGUGAGGCUGCCGGCGUGGAAGACAUGGCUUUCCUCUCGCGUCGCCGUGCUCCUCCGCGGUCAUGGCCUGCACGACGCUUUCCUCAUGUUUCCCCUCCCAUCAUGGCCGACGACCCCGCCUCCGCCGCACCCUCCUGCUCCUCCGACGAAGAUGAGGAGGGCACCGACAGCGACGCCUUCAACGAUUCCCACCCGGCCGCUGACCAGGAGGCCCCGCUUCCCGACUGCCCGCCCCCGCCUCCUCUAGUGCCCGCUGCCACUGCCUUCCUCGAACCAGUCGGUCUAGUUUCGCCGCCUCCGCCACAGGCCCGCAAGGGGCGAGUGUCGCGACUGCGGCGGAGGACUCGAGGGGGUUGUUCCAGCGGCUGUGGACGGACAAGGAGGAGCUGCUCAUCCUGCGUGGCUUCCUCAAGUUCACGAGGGUGCCAUCUACGACGUCGCAUGCUACAUCCUGCGCCGGUGGCCUCGCCGGUGAGUACCGCGGCGGCCUGCGCCGGUGGCCUCGUCGGUGAGCUCCACGACGGCCUGCAUCGGUGGCUUGGUCGUUACAGUUUUGGAGGAAAUGCGACGCGGCGGUUAUGAAGGAAGUGCGGGUCGCUGAUAGAUAGGACCAGGGCAGACACGAGAGGGGAGGAGCGGACGACGGGAGCGCCCAGUUUUGUCCGUCACGGACCCAUUUGUGGCCCAUUUUUGUGUCUAGUUUGGGUCGGAACGGACAACAAACGGAUAUCAUGUGGACGCUUCGGCCGUUUGGGUCGUCCGGUUGGGCCAAGUUUUCUAUCCAAAUGACCCAAACGGAUGAUUGAAGUUGCUCUAAAGUAAAUGAUUUGCCAUGACAAAAAAAGAUAGUACUUCGUAUUUAUAAGUUGUAGCGUAACAAAUUUUCAUGAGAACAUGAGUACAAAAUCAGAUACCUUUAUUUAUGGCCAUUGUCCCUGUACACCCUUUGAUGAGUACUCUGACUUGCAGCUGUUCGUACUUUAAAUCAUGGACUCACUCAACUUGCCCAGCGCUACCCUGCUGCAAAAUGUUGUGAAUGAAGGUACGAUGCGUGUGUAUAGGGCUCAACUUUGACCUAGGGAAACGGAAGUUGUUGAAAGUAUACAAUAACUUUUGUGUAGCAUGAUAAUUUACGCAGGGCAGAACUGAUAACUUACGUAUAAAUACCAUAAUAAUUUUUAAACCGAGAUUUUUCUUGUUAAAAAUACAACCUCGUAACUUUCUUUGUACUACCUCCGUUGGGGUUUAUAGAACCGAAAAACCAGCACAGCAAGACAAAGACACUUACUUUUUCAAAUGCGUGACCCAUUGAUUUUUUUCAAAGAUUGCAUCGGUUAUCCUGCCCUACAUACAUGCAUCCAAUGAAUAGCCUGCAUGCAACGAAGUACUGUUUUUUCAUGGCUGCAUGCAGCGGCUUUGACCAAUCUUUUCACAAACCAACAGUUCUAGCACCUGGCCUUCUAAUCGUAGCGGGUCAUGUAAACUCGAACGGAUGUACUCCUCCGUUUCAAAAUAAGUAUCGCAAAUUUAUAACUAAACUAGCAUAAUAUUUAUACUAAGUCAUCGUAUUUUAGGACGGAAGGAGUAGUAUACAGCAUGAUAAUAUACACACCAUAGUUACUUAUCUAAUUUGUAACUGAUAAUUUUUUAUUUAAAAAAAGUUGUCGGAACGUAUUAACAUGAGAUCUAGUUUUAAAGGUCUUGUGACAGAUUUUUCUAAUUUAUUUUAAUGAUGAUAUAUUUUGAAUCAAACCUACUGUUUAAGCUACGAAAAAAUUUAAAAUUAGAAGGAUCUGGAGUUCAUCAUCUUUUUGUUCUUUAAUGUAUGCAUGCAUGUGAAUGUGUGAAGAAGAUUGGGGGAACCAUUUUUUAUGCCUCAUUAACCUCUAUACAAUUUAUAUAUCACAAACGUGAUAACUUACAUAGCUCAUACAUAAUAACUUUGGACCCGAAAAAAAGACAUAGAAACGUAUCAAUACCAUCAAAACAUAUCAAUAUAGACAUGAAAUCUAGUUUCAAAGACCUCGUCACAGCAAAUUUAAUGAUGGAAAUAGAUUUUUAAUUUGGCUUUUCGUUUAAGGGAUAAGACAUUUUGAAUUUUGAGAAAAUGAUGUUUACAUCAUCUACAUUUGUUUUCACUUGCAUGUAUGCAUGGAUGCCAUUCCGCACUUUCCCUCGUCAGGGACUGUUCGCCCAUUAUUACAGUCGAAAACUAAAACAAUGAUAUGUACUCCCUCUGUUCCUAAAUAUAAGUUUUUUAAGAGAUUUCAAAACUAAAACAAUGAUAUGUAAUUACAUACUCUUAAAAAUAAUAAUUAAAUAAAAAGACAAUCCUUGGAAAUUACCAGUCUAGUCUUAUUCUAAGACCUGACGAAACAUUAUUGAGUACCCGUCAUAUACAAGAGGAUUCGCUAGCAAAGGACUAUCAGAAAGGUUCAGGCAAUCUGCUGCCCAGGUCAUACACGAUUAUUCAUCAGGUUGGACACAAGCUAAGCUGCUUUCCUUCUGGAGAGUAAUUUGAAAAACUGUUCAAAGGCAGGGUAGAAUGAUCAUCCUUCGUGAUACACUAAACUGGAAACAAAAAACUCAGCUCGAUGCAUUUACAUGGACAGAAAUCGAAGUAUGUAACGGGUGAAGCUACCAUCAUGCCUCCAGGUCGUUCAGGUUUCUCGGAACUUUGACAAAAAGUUUUGAAACGAAGAGAAACCUUCCAUCGCAUCGUGCGGCAUGUUAAGCGUGAAAGGGGGAAGAACACUCGGACCAGCCUUCAGGUUCUUCGGGCCAGCGGCUGACGGUAGCGCAAGUGCAGGCUGCUGUCUGUUGAGCUUUUCUAUGAUGUACGAGAAAGUUCCAAAAGCCAGGCAGCUCUGAAUCAGAGUUUGCGGUGCACCUGCAACAGACAGCAGAAAAUAUGGUACUGAGGUGAUCGAUACAUAUGAAGCAGUUUAUUUAUGCUACAGGAGCAAAAAUAGAAACAUUAACUCCUGCCCCACUCCCUACAAAAAGCAAAGAGAGAAGUUGUAUUCUCAGCACAAAUGAUGAUCCAAACUAACCCCUUUGAUUAUACGAUUUUGGUUAGUAGAAUCUACAUUUCUACGAUCCUAAUAGUUAAGAUUCUACCACUGGUGAUCACUGGUGGAGCUACAGUGGAUUUCUUGGGCGGCCCAACCUGAAGAAGAAACCAUAAGAGAUGGGCCAGGCCACUUGGCAAGCUAGUUAGGCAGUUUUUCAGCUAGGCAGGGCGGGCCAGAGCACAGGUUCGCCCCAACGUAGCUCUGAUCCGAUUCAAAAUAACGAUUUUGACAACCUUGUCGAGCGACCAAGCGGAACGCUCGUUUCAGCAUCUCUCCCUCUCUCGAUCCGCGACGACGGCAAAGCACUCCCACCUCUCCCUCUCCGGCAACGGCUGUCCUAGCCUCCCCCCACUUCUGUCCUCUGAUGGCAUGCAGCAGCAGCGGGCAGCCAGGUACAAGCUGGGUGACGAUCAAGCAGCUGGACGGCGGCUGUAGCGGACAGCUUGGGCAGAGCGGAGGCAGUAGAAGGAGCAGAAGGAGCAGCAGCUCAUGGGCUGUGGCUGGUAGUUGCAGGUGGCGGCCUCACAUGCUGGGCGGCGGCCAGGCGCUGCACGUCUCGAUUUGUUGAGCGACACAACAUGAGGAAUUGGCAGGCGGUGGCUACACCACAGAAGAGCAGGCUCUGCUCCAUUGUCCACUCUCCCUUGUGCGUUUGCUAGACUAGUGAUAAUCACCUAAAUGGAAAUUGUACAUGCUUUUUCUUGCCUUUUGCAACUACAGAAAAUUUGUGCAUGUUGUGGACCAUUUAUUGAUGAUUCUUUCUAAAUUUGUUAGUAAAAUAUGAUUGUGUAAGACUAUUGAUGUUAUUUAUUUGACAUGAUUGUGAUGCAAAAUAUAAAUUAUUGGUGAACAAAAAAUAAAUAAAACAUUGUUUUGAAAUUAAAUAAAGUGAUUCCGAAAAUACAAUUAAUGUUGCAUAUAUAGCCAGAAAAGCAAAACACUAAUCUGAACAUUUCUCAUUAUUCCAUUCCAUCAACCAAACACUGAGAUGUAACUGUUUCAUUCCACCUCAUUAUUCAUACGAAACACAAAGAUGGAACCAUUACAUUCCAUUCCACUUGGUUCUUCAACCAAACACACCCUCAGUGUCUUUGGCGGCACGGCUGGCUUCUGGGCGAUAGGGCAUGCUCGUGGCGGCCAUGGCGGCGACCUAUGUUNGAUAUGGCGUCCAGCGGAGGCUAGCGGCGCGUGUCGAUGGCUUCUGUUGUGCCUAAGACGGCAAUGGCUGGCGACAAUGGUGGCCCAACAGUGCUCGGUCACGACAGCUGCCAAGGCUUCGCCUUUCUCUAUGGGCACGUAGGGCGUGUGAGAUGGUGGCCCUAGGCAGGUUACGGUGGGGGUGGCGACAGUGUGGGGUCCUAAAGGAGGAUGCGGCCGGCGAUGCCGAGGCUGCCCGAAGACCGAAAGUGUCGGUUCCUGGGCAGCUCCCUAUUGAGAUCUGGAGGAGCCAAAUCUUGAAGGAGCACUAGCUGCCGAUCCGUCCAGAGGUUUUGCAGGCAGGUGGCUGGCGCGCGAGCCGAGGUGCAGGGUUUGGGUAUCCCACCCCCCUCAUGGACGGGCAGUUCGUUGGGCAGCCAUGGCGGCGGUGCUGCCCGGCUAUGGCCGUUGGCCUUGUGGUGGGACCCCGAGGGCAGGUGUCUUCUUCCCUUCGGUCGGCGACGGCCACAUGCUAUGCCGUCGGUGAGAGGUUCGGAUAGGGAUGUCGAGGCGGUGGCCUCAGGUGGCGGGCUACUCGAUAGGCUCUCGACGGGUGUACGGGUGUACGGGUGGCACAGUGGUGGUUGUGCUUCUUGGUCAUGUGGGUGGCGAGAGGUGUUGUGGUGGGUGGCAUUGGUGUCUUCUCUGUUGUGGCAGCGAAGGUGCGCAGAUCUGGUCAUGGAGAUCCCGGCUUCGUAGCAGCGGUUGACUUCGUUACUUCUUUGUGGCUCAGGGUAACAACCGGGUGAAAGCUCUGCGCUUCGUCCCCGGCAGAGACGGCGUCCAUGGGUGCUACUUUCCUCUUGAGGAUGUUGUCGCAGUUUCCCCUACCAGGUUUCUGAGUGAAAACAUUUGUUUGUUCCGUCGGCAACGGCGAUGAAUUGUGCCAUUUCCCUCUUGAGAGUGCCUUAUCUUUGGUUGUGGCGUGGUGUUGUCUUCACGCCCUUUUGUAUUCUUGCUCAUCUUCGUCGUGUCUUCCCAUCCGAUGUGUGUUGUCCAUUUUUUUUUCUAUUUUCUACUUUGUUUGAGGGCUUCCUCACCAUCAUGUAUCGUUCAACCAUGUACUUGUGGUUCGUGCUUUACCAUCCAUGCCAGCAAUUGUGCAUCCAUAAAUGGAACCAAGGGGGUAAGGCAAAUCAAGGAGACAAAAUAAAAAUCUAUGACAUCAAAACUGUAAGAACUAAGAAAAUGUGUCAUGUAACACCAAACUAAUUCGGAAAUCAUUAGCAAUAUGCGGUAAACCACAAGAGAGUACAGAAGCAAGUGUACAACUGAUGGAGAACUCAAAACGAUCAACUUUUUAGCCAUAAAACUUGCAACUGAUGCCAGAUAUCUAACCAUGACCUAAAAGGCUAUGCGUGCUUUCAAAACAAAUCACAAGUCCAGAAACCACCAUGACACUAGCACACGUUUGCAGCCAACACUGGGGUUGCCAACCAGGUAAAUUUUUUAUCCAAAUAACCUACACUAGGCAACUAGAAUAAUACAGGCAAAUCAUUUUCACUCUUACUGUUAAACUACAUUAAACUAUGUCAAAACCAUGGUCUUUGGGCAAGGUAUCCAGGAACAACGUUAAAUUUAGAUAGUUCCAGCUAUUAAUUGCAUUGCUAUAACUUUACCUGGAAAACUCAAAGCAAGGCCAGUGCAACAGCCUGCAACUCCUGCAUUAAUAACUGUAGACAAAAGAUCCACAAGUCAAUGGUCAUCCUUGUCAUUUUAUACACCCUAAGUACUUCAAAAAAGGUAGCAGAAUAGCAGCACAAUCUUAAAGGGGGCAUCAAAGACAGACCGUCAUCUUUUCCACGUAGCUUUCUCAAAGAGCAAGAAACCAAACUUUGAACGCCGGCAAGAACAGCAAAUAUCUAGAACAACAGACAAAAUUCUCAAUGUGAUGGUUAACAGAGAAAAGUCUAUUCCAAACGAAAUGAACAUUGGUAUCCAAUUAAUGAAAUAUGUAUCAUCAUACCUUAGCAGAAGAGGCAGCGUCAGCAAAUGAGCCUUUAAACCCUUUUGUGGUAACCAAACCUUUUCCUAAAAAAUCACCAGAUAUAGUUAACAUAACAAAGAGAUAAUUGUUGUGUUUUGAAUAGAAGGAUGACACACAGCAGGGCAGCCUGACAUAACGUAUACCAAACAAAAAUAUUGUGCACAAUGAACACACAAGGCUGAACCAAUUCAAAUUUACAGGUAGCAUUAAAUGAUUGAAUUGAUUUGACAUGACCACCAGAUCCACUACCAUAUUCCAUAAAAGAUCUACAUUGUUAUAUUCAAGGUGGUAAUGGACGUAACCAGAUAGGCUAUUUUUGUUAUCCGCAAAUUAAGGUGGCAUUUAGUUGGUGAUUGGUUCACUUUGCCUCAGCCUGACUGUCAGUGGUGGAGUGCACAAAGCAGCAAUUGGUUUCUUUAUACAAAAUUAGAGCAGUGAUUAAGUAUCACCCAUGCAUGUUGAGCAACUUAACAUGAUAACAGACACCGCGAAGCUCCAUACGUGCCUCCUUUACUAAGAAAGACCCUGCAUGAGAAUGCAAUGUCGGGAGCAUCUAAUCUACCAAUUAAUCACCAGGUCUAGGUAAAACAGAUUUGACAAUUGACAUGCUUUGGAUUUUGGGCAUCCAAAAACUUCUUUGGAUGACAAUGAGACGCAAAAUCCAAAAAUUGGAUUCUAAAAUUAGGCGUAUGCUUGAACCUAUUUCUGUGCCAAACCACUGGUAACAGAUUAGCAACCAAGAACGGAGCUAGGUGUGUAACUCCAUUGUCUCUUUGUGUGUUGCUUUUACUUUAGUUCUUAGUCCACAACAGGUUGUAUGAACACACCACAAACACACAGUAAACAUACGAGUUGAGUAUGUUUGUAUGAGCCAAAAGAAAGUUCUCUACCAAAUUUUCUGAGAAAACCCGCACAUGUUCUGUAACAUUUUCUUUCAUUUGGCAGCAUUAGCAAGUAAUUUCCCCCCCCCCAUUUUAUCCUUUUGCAAGGAAUAAACACACACUGCAGCUUCCAGAUAGGUACGUAUGCAUGCAGUCAGGCCUUGAAUCAAGUAAACGGAGCAAAAACAAUUUGGUUUUACCAACAUUUCUGAGAAACUUCGCACAUGUUUCAAUCUCAGUAAGCACGUGCUUUUUCACGAGGAAUAAUUAUGCGGUUAACUGUAAAAUCCAUCAAUAAUCUGCUCCAUAAUCCUUGGUGCCAGUGUCACACAAAUUAAACAAAAUUGCUACAAGUUCAACUAUCCUGAAUAUGUAACUGUAAUCAGCUGCAUGAAACCCAAACAACACACCAUGUGCUGCAAUUGAGCCUUAUCUCCUAAAUGUCCUCAACACUGGCACAGUAUACUGCGAAUCUAACAAAGAAAAACCAUAAUCAAUGCCUUAUGAAUGACACUACCCAUAGACCGUGUGAACAAUCAGUACUAAGAGCUCAAUUGCACACCCCAGAUUAGACGAACACCUUAAGACACAACCUUAUGGAAUAUAAUCAAAUCUGAUCUCCUGCCAGUCAAAAACCUUAUCAAAUUACGAGAGGCCUAAAAUAGAAAGGGAGCCAGCCAGGACCAAAGAUCGCAGAGCCCUAACCCUAACGGACGUGUCGAGCCGAACGAGGAGGUGGAGGGGACGGCGGUGUUACCAUAUCCAACGACGGCUCCGACGAGGGAACCGGCGGCCGACUCCCAGGCGAAGCGGAGGAGGCAGACCCCAGGNNNNNNNNNNNNNNNNNNNNNNNNNNNNNNNNNNNNNNNNNNNNNNNNNNNNNNNNNNNNNNNNNNNNNNNNNNNNNNNNNNNNNNNNNNNNNNNNNNNNNNNNNNNNNNNNNNNNNNNNNNNNNNNNNNNNNNNNNNNNNNNNNNNNNNNNNNNNNNNNNNNNNNNNNNNNNNNNNNNNNNNNNNNNNNNNNNNNNNNNNNNNNNNNNNNNNNNNNNNNNNNNNNNNNNNNNNNNNNNNNNNNNNNNNNNNNGACUUCAAUGAUUGCCGUAAAAGAUAGCGCGUGAGAGCCCCAUACCUGACCAAACGAGCCGGCCCGACACGGCCCAUGGUAAUCGGGCCUGGCACGGCACGGCCCGUCCAGGCACGUUUAUUAAUCGGGUCGUGUCGUGUCAGCCCGUGGGCUGCGCCUCUAGGCCUGUAAGAUUUGAGAGAGAGAGGUUUUGGAUCAGCACACUUUAUUCAAUCUAAACCAUGAUGUCUAACAGAAAACCCUAAGGAGGUAGUCAGCGGCAGCAAUCGUGCGAGGUGGGUUAGUGCUGGGUUAUCGAUUCCGAGGCAUGCGGACGUGCAUGCGUGCUGGGUCAUCGCCAUGCAUGGGCUUGCUUGAGGGCCAAGUCGGCCGACGCCAUGGGCUGUAGUGAGGUCUAUUCCAAAACCACCCCUCCCCCCCCCCGCCCGCAGUCGAUGCCUCGCUGUCGGAGAUGCAUAGACCGGAGCGGAAUUCCCGAAACAUCGACGGUGGAAGCCCCUUGGUCAUGACGUCGGCGAACUGUUGAGCCGUAGGUACGUGAAGAACACGGACAUGCCCCAGCGCCACCUUCUCGCGGACGAAAUGGAUGUCGAGCUCGAUGUGCUUGGUGCGACGGUGAUGGAUGGCAGAGAGGUACACCGCCGAGACAUUGUCGCAGUAGACUACCGUGGCUUUGGCGACGCCGCAUUGUAGCUCAGUUAAGAGCUGACGCAGCCACGAGCACUCGGCAACCGCAUUGGCAACGGCAGGGUACUCGGCCUCCGCGCUAGAGCGGGACACGGUGGGUUGCCGUUUGGACGACCACGACACCAGCGAAGGCCCCAUGUAGAUGCAGUAGCCAGAGGUGGAGCGGCGAGUGUCGGGGCAGCCGACCCAGUCGGCGUCGGAGUAGGCGACGAUGUCGAGCGACGAGGAGGCGCAGAGAGAGAGCCCAAGCGAGGGCGACCCGUGGAUGUACCUCAAGAUGCGCUUCACCAAUGUCCGGUGAACGUCACACGGAGCAUGCAUUGUGGAGGCAGACUUGUUGCACCGCGUACUCGAGAUCGGGCCUCGUCAGUGUCAGGUACUGGAGGGCGCCGACGAUGCUGCGGUAGAAGGAGGCAUCGGAGAAGGGGACGCCAGCCUGCCCUAAGACCUUGCCCGAGGUGUCGAUGGGGGUAGAUGCUGGCUUACAGUUGAUCAUGCCGGCGCAGUCCAGCAGUUCGAGGGCGUACUUCUUCUGGCAGAGGAAGAAGCCAUCGGAGCGGCGCGUGACCUCCACGCCCAGGAAGUAAUGGAGCGCGCCAAGGUCCUUCAGGGCGAACUCGCAUUGAAGGAGACCGACGACGCGACGGAGGAGAGCGUCGGUGGAGGCCGUCAAGACAAUGUCAUCGACGUACAGCAGAAGGUACACCAUGUCAGUGCCACGGCGGUAGACGAACAACGAUGCGUCGGACCUGGUGAUGACGAAGCCGACACGGACCAGGAACGCGGUAAUGCGUUGGUACCAGGCGCAGGGAGCGUGCUUGAUGCCGUAGAGGGACCGAGAGAGCAGGCAGACGUCGUCGGGGCGCGCAGGGUCGACGAAGCCAGCCGGCUGCUGGCAGAAAACUUGCUCCGUCAGGUGCCCGUGCAAGAAGGCGUUGGAGACGUCGAGUUGAUGGACGACCCAGCGGCGCGAGUAGGCGAGCUGAAGGACACAAUGACUCGUGCCCGGCUUCACGACGGGGGCGAAAGUCUCGGUGAAGUCGUGUCACGCCCAAGAUGCGACCCUAUCCUCAAUUUGGCACGAGGGCCUCGUCAGGGAUAGAAGCGCAUCUCGUCGUGUCGCAAGAAUGGAUAUCGUUACAAGUACAUGUACUAAAAGGAAGAGAUAUAUAAUAGAAUUGGCUUACACUUGCCACAAGCUACAUCAGAGUCACAUCAGUACAUUACAUAUUCAUCAUGAAGAAGAGCAGGGUCCGACUACGGACGAAAACAAACGAGAAAAGAAGAACGGCGUCCAUCCUUGCUACCCCAGGUUGCCGGCCUGGAACCCAUCCUAGAUCGAUGAAGAAGNNNNNNNNNNNNNNNNNNNNNNNNNNNNNNNNNNNNNNNNNNNNNNNNNNNNCCUUUACCUGUAUCUGCAACUGGUGUUGUAGUAAUCUGUGAGCCACAUGGGACUCAGCAAUCUCAUUUCCAAAGGUAUCAAGACUAGCAAAGCUUAAUGGGUGAGGUAAGGUUAAGUGGUGAGGUUGCAGCAGCGGAUAAGCAUAUAUUUGGUGCCUAAACUUACGAGUACAAGAAAUAAGAGGGGGAAGAUCUACGCAUAACGGACGUGAACUACUGGUGAUCAAAGGAAUGAUCCUGAGCACCUACCUACGUCAGACAUAACCCCACCGUGUCCUCGAUCGGAGUAAGAACUCACGAAAGAGACAGUCACGGUUACGCACCUAGUUGGCAUGUUUUAAUUAAGUUAUCUUCAAGUUAUCUAGAACCAGUGUUAAACAAAGCUUCCACGUUGCCACAUAACCGCGGGCACGGCUUUCGGAAAGAUUCAACCCUGCAGGGGUGCUCCAACUAGUCCAUCACAAAUUACCACAAGCCGCAUAGAAAUCCUCAAUCACGAAGCUCGCGAUCUCGUCGGAUUUCCUAGUGGAAAACCUCAACUCUGAGAUUACCCAAAGCAUCACCGGAAUCCCGAUGCACAAGAUAUCUCGUCAAAGGUAAAACUAAUCCAGCAAGGCCACCCGCGCGUGUCGACGAUCCCGAUAGGAGCCGCGUAUCUCGUUCUCAGGACACGAUGGAUGAGCGACGCGUACGGUGGCCUGAUAGAAAUCACCCAAGUUUCCCUGGGUUGGCCCCGCACAGUGCUCUGUUUUGGACCAGCACCAUCAGCACUGGCCCUCCCUGUAUUAUGUAGAAUUACUCCUCGGGUUCAUGACGCCCUAUGCUUUCAGUAUUAACAAAAUUAUUAUGUUGGGAAAAUGUAGUACCAAUGUUGGGCCUUGCCAGACCAGCUUUAAUCUAAAACGAAUUAUCAAGGGGGUCCCCAUAACAACCCCCAUCGUGUUAGGAGCGCUCAAUUAUGGAACAUAACACCGGUAGCCGAAACUAAGGGGGCAAAGGUGGAACAAAACACCAGGCUAGAAAGGCCGAGCCUUCCACCUUUUACCAAGUAUAUAGGUCCAUUAAAUUAAAUAGCAUUAAUAUGGUGAUAUGACAAGGAACUCAUGUUUUCACAUGGAAGCAACUACACCUGCAACUAGCAACGCUAACAACAUGGUUAAGCAAGCAGUAGCAUAGCCAAUCAGUGGUUUGCUAGGUUGAACAAGUUGAAGGUUUCAUGGCAUUGUUGAGAGGCUGAUAUUUAACAUGUGGUAGGCAACGAGACAUAAUCGAUAGAAGCGGUAAAACUAGCAUGGCAAUGAUAGUAAUGGUAUCCGGGGAAAUGGUCAUCUUGCCUGAGAUCCCACUUGGAAGAAGAACAACUCCGUGAAGUCGGCGAACCAAUGUGGUCAGACGGGUCCUCACAUUCCGACACGCUUGCGGAACUCUAUUGAGACGGAGCAAACCGGAAACAAACAUCAACACAGAUAUUCACCACACGAUGCACAACAUGAUGCAUACCCAAUAUGAUGCAUGGACGCCCAACCCCUAAUGAUGCACUUAAACCAUCCUACAUCGGUAAACAGGUGCCACAUCAUCAUGAAGUGACACCUCAGCAGGACUGCCCAAAACUGGAAACUACUAACUCCAUUGGAUUCCUUGGGUUCUCCUCCCCCAAAUCUAUAUACUACACUCCUAUAUAUGCAUGCAGAAAAACACCAGAAACAGCAAAGGAAAAACUACACAAGAUCAAACUCUGCUAACAACAAGAACAGGGGUUGUUCUUGAUAUGCCAGAUUUGGCAUAUACCUCUUCUGAAAUAUCCAGAUAUGGAAAUACAUCACAACACCAAUCAACAAAAUUAUAUAAUCGUCAGGGGGUCCCACUGGUCAUACUCACCAGGGCCCCUAGUAAGGCAUGUGGGCUCUGGACCCACUGACAGAGGCACACUACAACAAGCAACUAAAAACACAAGGGAAAAAACUAACAUGGGAGUAGGGGGACUCGAACCCACUACCUUCUUGCAAGACAACAGGGCAAUCACCACUGAGCUAGGCUCGGAUCACUGCCCUAACAAGGGGAGUAACCCACCUAUGCUACACGUGCAGACAACGCAACAAAUUGAAACAAAAACCCAAAUAAGAGGACGCGCGAGGGGCUCGAACCCUCGACCUACUGGCGCUGCAGUGGCUCGGUUGCCACUACGAUGGUGAAGUAUAACUGCUAGAACAAGGGAAGAAAUGCACAUAUGCAGGCUCUGCUAGCUAGCACAGGAGAACAAAAAUCGUAGAGAAUAAAAGGGGGGCGCUGGGUCUCGAACCCGAGACGUUGAGAACGAAAACAUGCUCGAUGCCACUGCGCUACCGUGGGGAUUCUGCCUAAGAAGGGAGCAAAGCAGAUCUAAAAGAAAACAUGGGGCGUCGCUGGAGCAGGGAGACGCCGGCGACGACGACGCGCGCCAGAGCCACUCGCCUGCAGGCGCAUACGACGCACAACCACGCGAUGCGCUACGUCCCUCGCGUCACUACAUAGCAGGCGCGGAACCUACGCCUAUAAGACGCAUGCACGCAGAGCUGCGGAAACUAGCGCAUCCUGCCGGUGCAACUCCGACAGGGCGGCGCCCACGCGCAACAUCGGCGACCUACUGCAGAGAGGGAAACGAAGGGGGGAUAGAGCUGCGCUCACCCAGGGUGCAGAGAGAGGGCUCGCGGGAGGGGAGACACGCCGCGCGACGACGUCCUGCUGCAGAGAACUCGUCGGAGAGGAAGAAGGACCAUCCGCCGAGGAGGUCGAGGCCGUCGUCCUUGGCGCUAGCUGCCCGUGGGAAUGGAACUCCAUGGGCGCCCGCGAGCUCCUGGUCCAGGAGGGGGAAGAAGGGGGCGUCGGGCUACCACGCAUCAGGCACUUGCCCGAGCCGGCCAUGGUGCGGUGGAGCUCGGGAACUCGCCCCGACGGCGCUAGGAGGGANGACGAGGGUUAGGGUUUCAGAGAGUCCGAGGCUGCUAAGUAUCUCGCACCACCCGCUCGGGGCCGUCUGAUCGAGGGAAGAAACGAUCUAUGGUGGUCAGGGGGUUCGUACGUGCUGACAUGAUCGAGGAGGAAGAAGCUGCCGCCAGCCAGGCCUGGGCUGAUUGCACUCACCUGGGCCUGGUGCUCCCUCUCUCACUGAGAAGGCCUACCUAAUAAAACAUUACAGCGAAAAUCAAACCACACGGGCUAAAGGAAAAUAGUUUUGGUGGAAACAAAAAUAUAACUGGGCUUUUAAAAUGUUGCCACUGUUUAUAAAAAUAAGUGGAACAUUUUUAGAAGUCCAAAAUUAUAUUCAUCUAAUUUAAAUGGGCUUUGAUUUUUUAAAUAAGAUAAGAAGGAAAGUAAAGUAGAAACCAGAGGGGUUGCCUCCACAAAAUGAAAAGGAUUUUUUUUAGGGAAAGAUGAACAUUUUUUUAAAUGGAGAAACAAAGCCUUUUAAACCUGCCACAAAUUAACAUAGAGAGAGAAGGGUUUUCUCCUUAUGGAGCAACAUGUGGGUUUUGACAUGCACUUGUUGCCCCCACACCUAAACAAUCACUAAGGACAUCAACACAACACUUGCACAUCACAACAAGGACACCCACAUCAACACAACCACAACAAAAGGGAAAGAAUGCAAUGCAAGAAGGCAUGAUGCACAUGAAAUGAUGACACAAAGUUAGGCUCACCCCACAUCACACCAACAUGCCAAGGUUGCCAUACAAGGAGGAUACAAAAGGGGAGGGGAGAUUGCACUUGGGCUGUCACAAGUCGAGACCAGCCCGUUGCCGGAAGCCGCGAACGACCCAGCUGCCAGGUGCGAUUCCUCAGUAGCGCGUCGUACUCGUCUUGCAUGACGGCGCGCCAGUGAGGGUCCCGGAGCGCCGAGUGGACGGACGCAGGGAGCGGCGAAGGAGCCGUCGUGGUGGCAGUGCAGACGUACUCGUUGGAGGAGUACCUCUGGCUGGGUCGAUGGACACCCGCGCGCGCACGGGUAAGCACUCCGAAGUGUACGGGGGCAGCAGGUGGGGCAGUUGAGGGAGAGGCCGGCCCCGUACUGGGCACGGGGGCAGCAGGUGGUGGAGGCGUCGUGCCGACAGGAGCGGGGCCCGGUGGUGCAGGAGACGGGGCCGAGACGCCCGGGGCAACUAGCGGAGAAGNNNNNNNNNNNNNNNNNNNNNNNNNNNNNNNNNNNNNNNNNNNNNNNNNNNNNNNNNNNNNNNNNNNNNNNNNNNNNNNNNNNNNNNNNNNNNNNNNNNNNNNNNNNNNNNNNNNNNNNNNNNNNNNNNNNNNNNNNNNNNNNNNNNNNNNNNNNNNNNNNNNNNNNNNNNNNNNNNNNNNNNNNNNNNNNNNNNNNNNNNNNNNNNNNNNNNNNNNNNNNNNNNNNNNNNNNNNNNNNNNNNNNNNNNNNNNNNNNNNNNNNNNNNNNNNNNNNNNNNNNNNNNNNNNNNNNNNNNNNNNNNNNNNNNNNNNNNNNNNNNNNNNNNNNNNNNNNNNNNNNNNNNNNNNNNNNNNNNNNNNNNNNNNNNNNNNNNNNNNNNNNNNNNNNNNNNNNNNNNNNNNNNNNNNNNNNNNNNNNNNNNNNNNNNNNNNNNNNNNNNNNNNNNNNNNNNNNNNNNNNNNNNNNNNNNNNNNNNNNNNNNNNNNNNNNNNNNNNNNNNNNNNNNNNNNNNNNNNNNNNNNNNNNNNNNNNNNNNNNNNNNNNNNNNNNNNNNNNNNNNNNNNNNNNNNNNNNNNNNNNNNNNNNNNNNNNNNNNNNNNNNNNNNNNNNNNNNNNNNNNNNNNNNNNNNNNNNNNNNNNNNNNNNNNNNNNNNNNNNNNNNNNNNNNNNNNNNNNNNNNNNNNNNNNNNNNNNNNNNNNNNNNNNNNNNNNNNNNNNNNNNNNNNNNNNNNNNNNNNNNNNNNNNNNNNNNNNNNNNNNNNNNNNNNNNNNNNNNNNNNNNNNNNNNNNNNNNNNNNNNNNNNNNNNNNNNNNNNNNNNNGGAGGCGAGCUGGAGACCUGUUGAAAGGGAAAAACAUACUCGUCAAAGUACACGUACCUGGAGAUGAGAACUCGCCCAGAUGCCGGAUCGAAGCAACGGAAACCCUUGGUAUUGGGGGGGGGGUAGCCGAAGAAUACGCAGAGAAUAGACUGGGGGCGAGUUUAUGUGGAGAAGUAGCGAGAAGAUUAGGAUAACAGAGGCAACCAAACACCCGGAGGUUGUCGUAGGAGGGUUGGUGACCAAAGAAGAGGUGAUCGGGAGUGAAUUGGCCACGAGCACGGUAGGGGCGCAGGUUGAGGGUGUGGGUGGCGCUGGAGAGAGCCUCGGUCCAGAACCGGGGCGGAACGGCGGCGUGAAGGAGCAGCGCACGAACAACGUCGUUGAGGGUACGAAGAGCACGUUCGGCACGCCCAUUUUGCUGGGAUGUAUACGGGCAUGUAAGGCGGAGGAUGGAACCGUGCGCGGAAAGCAAAGAGUGGAUGCCAUGGUUGUCGAAUUCGCGCCCGUUGUCGGUUUGGAGGCCGAGUAUAGGGCGGGAAAACUACGUUUGAACAAAGGCGAAGAACGAAGUGAGCGUGGGGAGGACAUCCGACUUGCGAUGCAACGGAAAAGUCCAUACAAAGUGCGAGAAAUCAUCGAGAAGCACCAAGUAGUAUUGAAACCCUGAAUUGCUUAUUAUUGGAGAGCACCAUACAUCACAAUGCAACAAUUCAAAUGGAAAACGAGAGAUGUGAGAAGAAGAAAAAGGAAGGCGAGUGCUCUUGCCCAAACGGCAAGCAGAGCACGAGUGAGGCGCACUUUUAAUACAUUGAAAAAGAUUGCUACGGAGGAGCUGGUGCAUGGUCGAGGCACCGGGGUGCCCCAAGCGGGCAUGCCAGAUAUCGACGCCCGCGCGAGGAGGGCGACGCCGGAGCGGAUAGAGAUCACCAGGGCUAUCACAUCGGAGCAGCACCGUCUUGGUCCGCAGGUCCUUGAUGGAGAAACCAAAGGGGUCAAAUUCAACCAAAACAAAAUUCUGACGAGUGAGUGCACGAACAGAAAUGAGAUUAGUGAUAAGCUGAGGAGAAACGAGCACAUCAUAGAGUUUAAUGGGAGAAUGAGGGGAGAGAGAGAUCACCGUGGUGUGUGAUGGGGAGAGAGGAACCAUCACCCACCACGAUGCGAGUAGAUGUAGGGAAGGGUUUAGACUGGGAGAGGAUACCAGGGUGGGAGGCCAUGUGGGAGGAUGCGCCAGUGUCCAUGAACCAGUCGUCGUUGCCGGAGUAGGCGGCCGACGAGGGAGCCUGAUGCAGGGCCGCCAGGAGCGCUGGAUCGUAGGGGGAGGACGCCCCGCCGGAGUUGCUGAGCCAGUGCCCAGGGGGCGUGGNNNNNNNNNNNNNNNNNNNNNNNNNNNNNNNNNNNNNNNNNNNNNNNNNNNNNNNNNNNNNNNNNNNNNNNNNNNNNNNNNNNNNNNNNNNNNNNNNNNNNNNNNNNNNNNNNNNNNNNNNNNNNNNNNNNNNNNNNNNNNNNNNNNNNNNNNNNNNNNNNNNNNNNNNNNNNNNNNNNNNNNNNNNNNNNNNNNNNNNNNNNNNNNNNNNNNNNNNNNNNNNNNNNNNNNNNNNNNNNNNNNNNNNNNNNNNNNNNNNNNNNNNNNNNNNNNNNNNNNNNNNNNNNNNNNNNNNNNNNNNNNNNNNNNNNNNNNNNNNNNNNNNNNNNNNNNNNNNNNNNNNNNNNNNNNNNNNNNNNNNNNNNNNNNNNNNNNNNNNNNNNNNNNNNNNNNNCGCUGCAGAGAGGACUGCUGCAUCCUCCGCUCCUUGAGGCGCAAGUAGUUGAUGGCGCGGGCGAACGUCGGCUCGGUGAGAAGGUUGAGAUUAGAAGCAGCGUUGGCGUAGUCUGAACCGAGCCCACGGAUCAGGUUCGUGAGCAUGGUGGCGUCAGAGACCGGGGCGCCCACGUCGCGGAGCUCGUCGGCGAGCACCUUGAGGCGGAGGCAGUAGUCGAAGAGCCCCAUGCCUUCCUGGGAGAGGCUGUAGAACUCGGUCGUGAGAAGCACAUGACGCUGGAGCUGAUUGUCGAGGAAGAGCUGGCAGAUGGAGGUCCAAAUGCCGAGGGCCGAGUCAUCGUCGCGGAUGACGUGCGAGAGGAUCUCGUUGCUGACGGUGCGAUAGAGCCACUUGAUGGUAGUGGCGUCAACCCUCAUCCAGUUGGCAUCGUCGCGCAUGGCGCGGGCGUCAACCGAUCUGUCGACAUGAUCCCGAAUUUGGAAUUCGCGGAAGGUCAACGAGACGUAGGUGCGCGAGGUGGAGAAGGAGGGUGUGUGGAUAUCCAGGACGACGGGGACGUGAUCCUGGAUGUGGAUGAGCCGAAGGCUGGCGGCAGAGGCAGGCUCGAGAACGGCAAAGGGGUUGACCUCGCCGGCGAGGGAGGAGCGAGGGGAGGCCAUCGCGGCGGUGGGUAGCGGAAGCGAGGAGAGGAUCAGAAGAAAACUAAUACCAUGUAAGAUUUGAGAGAGAGAGGUUUUGGAUCUGCACACUUUAUUCAAUCUAAACCAUGAGUAUUUAUACAGGUAGAUGAUCAGUGUCUAACAGAAAACCCUAAGGAGCUAGUUAGCGGCAGUGACCGUGCGAGGUGGGUUAGCAUUGGGUUAUCGAUUCCCAAGCAUGCGGACGUGCAUGCGUGUUGGGUCAUCGCCAUGCAUGGGCUUGCUUGAGGACCAAGUCGGGCCGACGACAUGGGCUAUAGUGAGGCCUGUUUCAACACCAGGCACGACCCGAUUAUUAAACGGGUCGGCAUGUUGGCCCGAUUAGCACGCUNCACGUGCCCAGCCUCCAGGCCCAGGCACGGUCCGAGGCGUGCUUCGUGUCGAGCCCGAGCACGAUUAGCCCGUGCCGGGCCGGGCCGGGCCCGUGUCGUGCCAGACACGCGGGCUGUCGGGCAAGCCCAUUUACCCGGCCCCCAUUUGGCGAGAUCUGGUUCCAGCAGACACUGUAACAAAAUCGAUGCACGUGUGGUAGUGGUGGAAAGGCACGUGGAGAAGGCGUUGAAUUUAUAAUGUGCGCCGAGCACCAUGCGCCAAAUCUAACACGUGUCGGGCCGCCUUUUCCCGUGCUUAAACUUUUCCCGCGCGUCAGAAUCUUUCGCGUGCGCUGGAGUGCACGCUAAAAUUCAAUUUUCCCUUGUGCCCACGUUUUUUAAGUCACUGUUGGAGAUGCUCUCGGGGGAACCAACUUGAGGGAGCGUGGUAUUCUUAGUCGGCCAGGUUUAAAUCUUGUGCUCGUAUUAUUUUUGAAAUUAUUUUAGGAUUUUCAGCAAUGCGCAUUUAGUGAAAAGAAUCAUUUUUGUCGACGACGAGGCGCCUAGAGUGAUUUAGUAAAUCUUAAGAUGAUAUGGUGGCUCAGUCUCUCGAAUGUGAUCAUAAGGAUAGGGUGUACGUAUAUGAGUUCAUAGGGAUGAUUAUAUACACGUGUAUAUGAGCGCUUACGUAUGUACUGUGUUAGAAAAAUACCGUCGCAUAGAAGAACACGGUUUUUUAUUUUAGAGGAAUGACCAUGUGUCUAUUAAACAAACAAUUACAAUGAAUACAUACAUAUAUACACNAUAUAUAUAUGGGGGGGGGGUCUCUUCAUGACUCAAGUGAAUGACAAGGACAAGGUUGAGAUGCCAUCUUUAUAUCAAAAUUUGUAUCAAUCAUUUCAUGACUCAAAUGGUCUGCUACAAUAAUUUCAAAGGUAUGGCACCCUCAAUCCAUCUCCCAAUAUCGUUCAAUUGCUCUUGGCACGGUGAUGUAUAAGAUUGUUGUUAAGGUAGUAGCUAAUCGUAUGAGGGGCAAUAUGAAGGUGAUCAUUAGUGAAGAGCAAAGUAUUUUUGUGCCUCGGUAUUUAAUUAAUGACAACAUUGUAUUUGCAUAUGAAAGUGUGGACACUAGGAGGCGACAAAAGAAGGGCAAGAGUUUCUCAUGCAUUGUUAAAUUGGUGAUGAAAGCCUACAACUGAAUUGAGUGGCAUUACUUGGAAGCCAUCUUGAUGAAGUUGGGUUUUAGCAUCGAUUUCGUAAGACUUAUUACGAAAUAUGUUUCGUCGGUCAGAUUCUCGGUAAGGGUGAAUCAAGAUCUUCUACCAUACUUCACUCCUACAGGGGGAUUGCGACAUGGCGUCCCAAUGUCAUUAUACCUAUUUCUGCUAUGUGUGGAAAGUUUUUCCUCGCUACUCAAAUACUAUGAUGGUGGCUAUGUGGACAAGGGGACCAGAGUCAAUUAUAGAUCACCGCGGGUGAGCCAUUUAUUAUUUGUCGAUGAUAGCCUCAUCUUCCUCAAUGCAACAAGGUUGAACUCCAUUAUUGAGAUAUGUGGAAGUGCUUCAGGGCAGAGUGUGAAUAUAGAUAAGCGGGCCAUCUAUUUUAGUCCUAACACACCGGAUCCGGUUCGACAAUUGCUGAAAACAUCCUUGGAUAUUCAUGUCGAGGCUUUCAUUGUAAAGUAUCUUGGUCUUCCAACAGCUGUGGGGCGCAUUACAAUUGAACUUUUGUACACAUGGAGAUAGGGCUCGAGGGAAGAUGCAAGAGUAGUUGGAAAAGUUAAUAGCUUGCGCCGGGAGAGAUGCAGUAUUGAAGUUCGUUGUUCAAGCGCUCCCGUUGUACAGUAUGACCACUUUUAUCUUGAACAAGAAAGUCUAUAAGAGCAUCACUUCACCAAUGGCAGAGAAAUUAUGGAGUAUCUCUUUGGACAAGAAAUCUAUGCAUUGGGUUUCAUGGUAUAAACUUGCGACUCCAAAGCGCAAAGAGGGCAUGGGAUAUUGAGACAUGCACCCCUUUAAUUUGGCUUUGCUAGGGAAGCAUGGUUGGCAUUUAUGACCUAGCCUAUAUUCCUAUAUGCAAGGGUUUUGAAGGGUCGCUACUUCCCGCACAUUGAUUUCAUGAAUGUUGUUCUUCCUCGCUCGGUAUCAGCUACAUGGCAUGCUACAAUUGCAGGAAUGGAAUCACUAAAGUUUGUUAUGAUAAAGCGAGCUGGUGAUGGAUCACCAAUUUCGUUUUGGGAUGAUAAAUGGACCGCGGGAAGUAUUUCCAUGACACCGAUGCUGAAACCGGAGAACGGGUGAUUGAAAAGGUCCCUGAGUUGAUUGAUUAGGACAAAUGUACAAGGAAUCAACAUGUGGUCAUAGAUACUUUUAUCCCGUCUCAUGCAGAUGCCAUUCUAAACGUUCCAAUUCGGCAAGGUGGAUGCAAUGAUUUUCUUGCUUGCGCAUUUGAAAAGCCAGGAAACUACAGUGUUAAAUCAGCGUACCAUAUCUCAUGACUUAAAAAGAGUGUUUGACUCUGGAAAAAGGAACGGCUACCGAGACCUCAAAGAGUGGUCAACAAUUAUGGAGUGCACUUCAGAAGUUGAAUGUUUUGCCAAGGGUUAGGGUGUUCUAGUGGAGGGUCUUGCAUGGAAUCAUGCUGGAUAUGCUUUAGGAGGGGCGCACAUUCCUGAUCUUCCCCAUGCCUGUCAGGCGAGCGAGGGCUGGGUGCGGUGCAUGUGCUCGGGUUAGCCCCAAUAGAGCAGAAAAAUCCAAGCGAUUGAGCUCUAGCUCACGGGCCUGCUCUCGUGUACAUCACCUCACCAGGUCCUUGAUGCUCUUGUCUCCUCGCGUAACAUCCAAAGGCAACCCCACGAGCGCCCUCGCUGCACUACUCUUGGCAAUUUCCCUGGUGCAAGAUAUCGAAGGCCUCAUGAGCCCCUGAUACGUCCAUUUUGCAUCAUGCUUUCAUGUUGAUAUUUAUCGCUUCUUGGGGUGUUAUUUCAUUUCACGGUACAAUACUUAUGCCUUUUCUCUCUUAUUUUGCAAGGUUUACAUGAAGAGGGAGAAUGCCGGCAACUGGAAUUCUGGCCUGAAAAAGGAGCAAGUUUGAGAUGCCUAUUCUGCGCAACUCCAAAAGCCAUGAAAAUCAACGUGGAUUUUUUUGGGAAUUUAUAAAAAAUACUGGGAUGAAGAAGUGCCAGAGGAGCGCAACCAGGGGGCCACAAGCCUCGUAGGCGCGACCACCCCCCUGGCCGCGCCUAGGGGGCUUGUGGGCUCCCUACUGGCCCACUGGCUCCCCUCUUCUGCUAUAUGAAGGGUUUCGUUCCGAAAAAAAAUCAAGAGGAGGCUUUUCGGAGGAUUCGCCGCCGCCACGAGGCGGAAGUUGAGCAGAACCAAUCUAGAGCUCCGGCAGGACGAUCCUGCCGGGGAAACUUCCCUCCUGGAGGGGGAAAUCGUCGCCAUCGUCAUCACGAACACUCCUCUCAUCGGAAGGGACUCAUCACCAUCAACAUCUUCAUUAGCACCAUCUCAUCUCCGAACCUUAGUUCAUCACUUGUAACCAAUCUCCGUCUCCCGACUCCGAUUGGUACUUGUAAGGUUGUUAGUAGUGUUAAUUACUAUUUGUAGUUGAUGCUAGUUGGAUUAUUUGGUGAAAGAGUUUAUGUUCAGAUCCUUGAUGCUACUCAUUACCUCUCUGGUCAUGAAUAUGAUUAUGCUUUGUGAGUAGUUACUUUUGUUCCUGAGGACAUGGGAUAAGUCAUGCUAAUAGUAGUCAUGUGAAUUUGGUAUUCGUUCGAUAUUUUGAUGUGUUGUAUGUUGUUUUUACUCUAGUGGUGUUAUGUGAACGUCGACUACAUAAAAUUUCACCACUAUUUGGGCUAUAGGAAGGAAUUGGGAAGUAGUAAGUAGAUGAUGGGUUGCUAGAUUGACAGAAGCUUAAACCCUAGUUUAUGCGUUGCUUCGUAAGGGGCGGAUUUGGAUCCACUAGUUUAAUGCUAUGGUUAGACUUUGUCUUAAUUCUUCUUUCGUAGUUGCGGAUGCUUGCGAGAGGGGUUAAUCAUAAGUGGGAUGCUUGUCCAAGUAAGGGCAGUACCCAAAUGCCGGUCCACCCACAUAUCAAACUAUCAAAGUAACGAAAGCGAAUCAUAUGAACAUGAUGAAAACUAGCAUGACAGAAAUUCCCGUGUGUCCUCGGGAGCGUUUUUCCUCCUAUAAGACUUUGUCCAGGCUUGUCCCUUGCUACAAAAGGGAUUGUGCCACUUUGCUGCACCAUUGCUACUUUUGUUACUUGUUGCUUGUUGCGAAUCAUCUCACCACACAACCACUUGUUACCGAUAAUUUCAGUGCCUGCAGAUAUUACCUUGCUGAAAACCACUUGUCAGAUCCUUCUGCUCCUCAUUGGGUUCGACACUCUUACUUGUAGAAAGGACUACGAUAGAUCCCCUAUACUUGUGGGUCAUCAGCCCCCCAUCACGAGGCCUCGCAAGCUGCUCCCUAUGGAGGACUCACUCCAAGCUGCACACCUCAAAGGAGCUAAGUCUAAAACACCCCUCGGGUUUUAUACCUCUCAUUCACCUCUCAAGGCAUCUUGAUUUCCUUGGCACGAGACGCCUACACGUCAAGGGGGACCCUGAGCAUCGUGCCUUAGGGACUCCUACCAUCCCUAAGAUCCCUACACCAUGUGGCCUUGUUGAGCGCAUGCUCUACACAUACCAGCAACGGUUGUAGCCCGUCCCGGGGGCUGGGUCCAAGCGACACAAGGCACAAAGGCAACCUAAAAGGGAAAUAAAGGCCUCGAGAGGAAAACAAAAACACAUAAAACAUCAACUACUUAAGACAAAAGUGCCAUAAGAAUGUUUUCACACACCCACGAGGCUGCAUAUACUUUAUUACAGCAAUGCGCCAAGGGGAGUCUAGGCGGACGAGGCACCACUGUCGUUACUCUCGCCAUCAUUGUGAGGGGUCUCUCUACCACAACCGAUGUGAUCCCUCGCAACCUCUCGUCUGAAACCAAAGUGACUAUCGAGGCAGAGAAGGUUGUCGAAAAGUCGCAUCGUCGCCAGGGUCAACAAGUCACGACACGCCUCCUCGACGAUGGCGUCCACAUCAAGCAGUUGCUUCUUGAGGUCGUCGACCUCGGCCUAGAGCUUGCCCCGCUGGCCCGUGAGGCCCUUCUGUUCAUCGAGAGUAGCCUGGGCGGAAACCAACUUGCACUCCUUCGCCAAUAGGCGCUCCCGCUCUGCCUCCCACGCAGACGGGAAAGACGAUAACUCGCGCUCCCGGGUCUCGAUGUUCGCCUCGCGGGAGGCGACCGCCCUGGGGCGCCUCAAGACCUCCUCCUCAUGUUUUGUGAGCUCGACUUAGCAGGGCGUGGGACAGCUCUCGGAGGCCUCCAUAGCCUCCUCCCGCAUUUUGAGCGGACGCUCGCAUAAAGCAGGUGGUUCCUAGAGCAUCUUCUCGUCGGCAUGAGGCCCCCUCCCGUUGUCGCUUGGCCUCCUGGCAUUAUCGAGGGCCUUCAUGAGGGACACAUGGGCAUCUUUGGCGAGCUAAUCGUGAUAUGCUUGCGCCUCCUCACCCUGCUGACGGUCUAGCUUCAUCGCCUUCUCAAGCCGGCUCUUCCCCUUCUCCAAGCGUCGCCGCUCCUCCGCGUAGAGCUUUGCCUCUGUGCGCCCCUGGGAGAGUGCCUCCCGAUCCUCGACAGCCUCGCCCUCACCCUCAAGCCGAAGCUCGCCCUCCUCCUUGCCUCCCACCAGUUUUUUCUCCAGGCACGUCGGGGCGACGGGCGAGACGACCGACUCCUUGCUGAUUGCGUUGGGUUCCCUCCAGGCUCAAAUGGUGAUGUAGCACAUCGAAGACAAGUAUUUCCCUCAGUUAUGAAACAAAGGUAUCAAUCUAGUAGGAAGAUCCACAAGACUAUGUAAGCGACACAUGCACACAAAUAGCAAAUCCUUGCAAGCCAACGCGUGGAGAGGUCAUCAAUCCCUCGUGGGUAAAGUAAGGAUAGAUUGAUAUAUGCAAAUAAGAAUGAUAGCAAAUAAAAUGCAGCAUGGUAUUUUUGUUUUUUUAUAAUAUAGAUCUGAAAAUAAAAGAGAAAACAAAAUAGAAACAUGAAUAGCAAAUUAGAGGUUGCAAAUAGAUGAUGUGAAGUAGAUCCGAUGGCCGUAGGUUUCACUAGUGGCUUCUCUUGAGAAAAUAGCAAACGGUGGGUAGACAAAUUAUUGUUGGGCAAUUGAUAGAAGAGCAGAAAAUUAAGACGAUAUUCAAGACAAUGAUCAUGUGUAUGUUGGAAAUAUGCCCUAGAGGCAAUAAUAAAAUAGUUAUUAUUAUAUUUCCUGUUUCAAGAUAAUCGUUUAUUAUCCAUGCUAUAAUUGUAUUGAAUGAAAGCAUAGAUACAUGUGUGGAUAUAUAGACAAAACAAUGUCCCUAGUAAGCCUCUAGUUGGCUAGCCAGUUGAUCAAGCAUGGUUAAGGUUUUUUGACCAUAUGCAAGUGUUGUCACUUGAUGACCGGAUCACAUCAUUAGGAGAAUGAUGUGAUGGACAAGACCCAAACUUUGAACGUAGCAUGUGAUCGUGUCAUUUUGUUGCUAUUGUUUUCUGCGUGUCAAGUAUUCAUUCCUAUGACCAUGAGAUCAUGUAACUCACUGACACCAGAGGGAUACCUUGUGUGUAUCAAACGUCGCAACGUUACUGGGUGACUAUAAAGGUGCUCUAUAGGUAUCUCCGAAGGUGUCCGUUGAGUUAGCAUGGAUCAAGACUGGGAUCUGUCACUCCGUGUGACGGAGAGGUAUCUCGGGGCCCACUCGGUGAUACAACAUCACAUAUAAGCCUUGCAAGCAAUGUGACUCAAGUGUUAGUCACGGGAUCUUGUAUUACUGAACGAGUAAAGAGACUUGCCGGUAACGAGAUUGAAAUAGGUAUAGGGAUACCGACGAUCAAAUCUCGGGCAAGUAACAUAGCGAAGGACAAAGGUAAUGGUAUACGCUAUUAUAUGAAUCCUUGGCACAGAGGUUCAACCGAUAAGAUCUUCAUAGAAUACGUAGGAUCCAAUAUGGGCAUCCAGGUCCCGCUAUUGGAUAUUGAACGGGGAGUGUCUCAGGUCAUGUCUGCAUAGUUCUCGAACCCGCAGGGUCUGCACACUUAAGGUUCGGUGACGUUUCGGUAUAGUUGAGUUAUAGGUGUUGGUGAACGAAGGUUGUUCGGAGUCCCGGAUGAGAUCACGGACGUCAGGAGGGUUUCCGUAAUGGUCUGGUAACGAAGAUUGAUAUAUAGGAUGGUUUCAUUUGGUCUCUGGAAAGAUUUCGGGCAUUACCGACAGUGUACCGAGAGUGACGAAUGCAUUUCAGGUUUUCACCGGGAGGGGCCCACCCACCCGGGAGAGAGCCUAAUAGCCCAAGGGUGGCGCACCAGCCCUUAGUGGGCUGGUGAGGCCAGCCCAAGUGGGCUAUGGCGGCUAAGGAGAAAAAACCAAAGAGAAAGAAAAAAAGGGGAGGUGGGAAGGAAGAGGAGGAAUCCUCCUUCCCCAAACCGAAUCGGAGUUGGAGUCCUCCUCUCCUCUCUCGGUCGGCGCCCUAGGGGCUCCCUUGAGCCCCAAGGCUAGCCCCUCCCCUCCUCCUAUAUAUACUAGAGGUUUUAGGGUUUUUGAGACACAACUUUGCCACGUGCAACUCAAACCUCUACUUCAUAGUUCUUCCUCUAGAUCGGUUUUCUGCGUAGCUCAGGUGGAGCCCUGCAGGAAUAGAUCAUCACCAUCACCGGCGCACCAUCACGCUGCCGAAGAACUCAUCUACUUACCCGUCUAUCUUGUUGGAUCAAGAAGGCGGAGAUCGUCAUCGAGCUGUACGUGUGCUGAACGCGGAGGUGCCGUCCGUUCGGCGCUAGAUCGGAACGGAUCGUGGGACGACGGUGAUAUGAAUCACGAAGCUGUACCACUACAUCAACCGCGUUUCUUAACGCUUCCCGCUUAGCGAUCUACAAGGGUAUGUGGAUCCGAUCUCCCUCUCGUAGAUGAACAUCAUCAUGAUAGGUCUUCGUGUGCGUAGGGAUUUUUUUGUUUCCCAUGCAACGUUCCCCAACAGUGGCAUCAUGAGCUAGGUUCAUGCGUAGAUGUAAUUUCGAGUAGAACACAAAAAUUUUUGUGGGCGUUGAUGUUCAAUUUGCUGCCCUCCUUAGUCUUUUCUCGAUUCGACGGUAUUGUUGGAUUGAAGCGGCCCGGACCAACAUUACUCGUACGCUUACGAGAGACCGGUUUCAUCGACUAACAUGCAACUUGUUGCAUAAAGAUGACUGGCGGGUGCCUGUUUCUUCAACUUUAGUUGAAUUGGAUUUGACCGAGGCGGUCCUUGGAUAGAGGUUAAAUAGAAAUUUGCAUAUCUCCGUUGUGGUUUUUGCGUAAGUAAGAUGCGAUCAUACUAGAUACCAGUAGCAUCCACGUAAAACAUGCAACAACAAAUUAGAGGACGUCUAACUUGUUUUUGUAGGGUAUGCUUGUGAUGUGAUAUGGCCAAAGACAUGAUGUGAUAUAUUGGAUGUAUGAGAUGAUCAUGUUGUAAUAGUUAAUAUCGACUUACACGUCGAUGCUACGGCAACCGACAGGAGCCAUAGGGUUGUCUUCAAACUAACGUUUGUGUUUGCAGAUGCAUUUACUAUAUUGCUAGGUUGUAGCUUUAGUCGUAAUAGCAUAGAUAGCACGACAACCGCGAUGGCGGCACGAUGAUGGAGAUCAUGGUGUGGCGCCGGUGACGAUGAAGAUCAUGCCGAUGCUUUGGUGAUGGAGAUCAAGAAGCACAAGAUCAUGGCCAUAUCAUGUCACUUAUGAACUGCAUGUGAUGUUAAUCCUUUUAUGCACCUUAUCUUGCUUAGAAUGACGGUAGCAUUAUAAGGUGAUCCCUCACUAAAUUUCAAGAUAAAAUUGUGUUCUCCCCGACUGUGCACCGUUGCGACAGUUCAUUGUUUUGAGACACCACGUGAUGAUCGGGUGUGAUAGACUCAACGUUCACAUACAACGGGUGCAAAACAGUUGCACACGUAGAACACUCGGGUCAAACUUGACGAGCCUAGCAUGUGCAGACAUGGCGGGGGGGGGGGGGGGGCAAGAGACCGAAAUGUCGAGCAUGAAUCGUAUAGUUGAUAUGAUUAGCACAGAUAUGUUUACCACUGAAACUACACUCAACUCACGUGAUGAUCGGACUUGAGUUAGUGAAUUUGGAUCAUGCCACACUCAAGUAACUAGAGGGAUCUCUAUUUGAGUGGGAGUUUAUUAGUAAUUUGAUUAGUUAAACUCUAAUUGUCUUGAACAUAGUCUAAGUCCACUUUGCAAUAUUUUAUGUUGUAGAUCAAUGGCUCACGCAGUAGCAACCCUGAAUUUCAAUACGUUCCUGGAGAAAGCUAAGCUGAAAGAUGAUGGUAGCAACUUUGUAGACUGGGCUCGUAAUCUUAGGAUCAUCCUACAAGCUGGGAAAAAGAAUUAUGUCCUUGAUGCUGCACUAGGAGAUGAACCACCCACUACGUCUGAUCAAGAUGUUUUGAACGCUUGGCAAUCACAUAAGGAGGACUACUCAGUAGUUCAAUGUGCAGUCUUGUAUGGCUUGGAACCGGGACUUCAACGAUGCUUUAAACGUCAUGGAGCAUAUGAGAUGUUCCAGGAGUUGAAGUUUAUCUUUCAGAAGAACGCCCGGAUCGAGAGGUAUGGGACCUCCGAUAAAUUCUAUGCUUGCAAAAUGGAGGAGAAUUCGUCUGUUAGUGAACAUGUGCUCAAAAUGUCUGGGUAUUCAAAUCAUCUAGCCGAGUUGGGGAUUGAACUCCCGCAAGAGGCUAUCAUUGACAGAAUUGUUCAAUCACUGCCACCUAGCUAUAAGAGCUUUGUGUUGAACUAUAAUAUGCAAGGGAUGAACAAGUCACCCCGCGAGUUAUUCACGAUGCUGAAAGUCGCAGAGUCAGAACUCCGGAAAGAACAUCAAGUGUCGAUGGUCAAUAAGACCACUGGUUUCAAGAGAAACAACAAAGGCAAGAAGGGUAACUCCAAGAAGAGCGGCAAAACAGUUGCCAAUCCGACGAAGAAACCCAAGGCUGGACCUAAGCCGGAAACAUGGUUCUAUUAUUGCAAGGGGAUGGGUCACUGGAAGCGCAACUGCCCCAAGUAUUUGGCUGAUAAGAAGUCGGCCAACGCCAAACCAGGUAUAUGUGAUAUACAUGUUAUUGAUGUGUACUUAACCAACUCUCGUAGUAGUGCCUGGGUAUUUGAUACCGGUUCUGUUGCUCAUAUUUGCAACUCAAAGCAGGAACUGCGGAAUAAACGAAGGUUGGCGAAGGAUGAAGUGACGAUGCGCGUGGGAAAUGGUUCCAAGGUUGAUGCAAUCGCCGUCGGCACAGUCUCACUUCAGUUACCAUCAAGAUUAGUUAUGAACUUAAAUAAUUGUUAUUUAGUGCCUGCGUUAAGGAUGAACAUUAUAUCUGGAUCUUUUUUAUUACGAGACGGAUACUCAUUUAAGUCAGAGAAUAAUGGUUGUUCUAUUUUUAUGAGUAAUAUCUUUUAUGGUCAUGCACCCAAUGUGAGGGGUUUGUUCAUAUUGAAUGUUGAUUGUGAGUUAACAAUGAUAGCGCCACCUUUUUGUGGCACUUCUGCUUAGGUCAUAUUGGUGUAAAGCGCAUGAAGAAACUCCAUGCUGAUGGGCUUUUGGAGUCACUUUAUUUUGAAUCACUUGACAUGUGCGAACCAUGCCUCAUGGGAAAGAUGACUAAGACCCCGUUCUCUGGAACAAUGGAACAUGCAAGUGACUUGUUGGAGAUCAUACAUAAUGAUGUGUGCGGUCCAAUGAGUGUGGAGGCGCGUGGCGGAUAUCGUUAUUUUCUCACCUUCACUGAUGAUUUGAGUAGGUAUGGAUAUAUCUACUUGAUGAAGCACAAGUCUGAAAUGUUUGAAAAGUUCAAGCAAUUUCAGAGUGAAGUGAAAAUCAUCGUAACAAGAAUAUCAAGUUCCUACGAUCUGAUCGAGGGGGUGAGUAUCUGAGUUUCGAGUUCGAUGCUCACUUAAGACAAUGUGGAAUCGUUUCACUGUUGACACUUCCUAGAACACCACAGUGUAAUGGUGUGUCCGAACGUCAUAAUCGUACUUUGUUAGAUAUGGUGCGAUCUAUGAUGUCUCUUACCGAUUUGCCAUUAUCGUUUUGGGGUUAUGCAUUAGAGACAGCUGCAUUCACUUUAAAUAGGGCACCAUCAAAAUCCGUUGAGAUGACACCAUAUGAGCUAUGGCAUGGCAAGAGGCCAAAGUUGUCGUUUCUUAAAGUUUGGGGAUGCGAUGCUUAUGUCAAAAAGCUUUAGCCUGAAAAGUUGGAACCCAAAGCGGAAACGUGUUUCUUCAUAGGUUACCCAAAAGAGACAGUUGCGUACACCUUCUAUCUCAGAUCCGAGGGCAAAGUGUUUGUUGCUAAGAAUGGAUCUUUUCUUGAGAAGGAGUUUCUCUCGAAAGAAUUGAGUGGGAGGAAGAUAUAACUUGAUGAGGUUGUGGAACCUUUGCUCCCUCUAGAUGGUGGCGUAGGGCAGAGAGAAAUCUCUGUCGAGGCAACACCGGUUGAGGAAGAAGCUAAUGAUGAUGAUCAUGAAGCUUUGGAUCAAGUUACUAUCGGACCUCGCAGGUCGACAAGAUCACGUACUGCUCCUGAGUGGUACAGGAAUCAUGUCUUAUCGAUCAUGUUGUUAGACAACAAUGAACCUGUGAAUUAUGAAGAAGCAAUGGUGGGCCCGGAUUCCAACGAAUGGCUGGAGGCCAUGAAGUCCGAGAUAGGAUCUAUGUAUGAAAACAAAGUAUGGACUUUGGAAGUAUUACCUGAAGGUCAUAAGGCUAUUCAGAACAAAUGGAUCUUUAAGAAGAAGACGAACGCGGACGGUAAUGUGACCGUUUAUAAAGCUCGACUUGUGGCAAAGGGUUUUUCACAAGUUCAAGGAGUUGACUACGAUGAGACGUUCUCACUGGUAGAAAUGCUUAAGUCCGUCCGAAUCAUGUUAGCAAUAGCUGCAUUUUUCGAUUAUGAAAUCUGGCAGAUGGAUGUCAAAACGGCGUUCCUUAAUGGUUUUCUUAAGGAAGAGUUGUAUAUGAUGCAACCCGAAGGUUUUGUCGAUCCAAAGAAUGCUAACAAAGUACGCAAGCUCCAGCGAUCCAUUUAUGGACUGGUGCAAGCAUCUCGGAGUUGGAAUAAGUGCUUUGAUGAGGUGAUGAAGUGUAAGGACUAAGAUGCGGUCCUUUUCGGUUUAGGGGAACGAGGCCCCAAAGAGGAAAGAAGCGCAUCUAAGCGUUUCGCAAACACGGUAACAUAGCACAUACAUAAUAAUAGAAUGACAAUUAGGGAUUCAACUGCCAUAUCAUAAAUAAUAUUAGAGUUUACAUCACGCAUCCAAGCAAGGUAGUUCCGCUAUGGACUACAAAACAUGAGAAAUGACUAUGUUACCCUGCAUGCUUGCCCACGAUCACGACCACGCCUCAGUCUUUUGGACAGUUCACGUACAGGCGGUCGUUCUCCUCAUCGUACUGCCACGCCAGCUACGUGUCGUCGGGAUCACCUGUCUCGGGGGUACCUGAACCUAUUGGUGCGUUGAAGUAAUAUGUGAGCCACGGGGACUCAACAAUCUAUGACCUCGGUGCUAGAACUAGUCAAGUUAAUAGGUAAGGAAGGUGGAGUAUUUAGGUUGCAACAUCCUAAGCAUAUAUGGUGGCUAACUUACGUAGAGCAAGUAUUGAAGAUGGUCUAUACUAGCAAUCGAUGAUUAGCUGAUCACUAAGUGAUCCUGAACACCUACUUAUGUCAAUCAUAACCCCACCGUGUUCCCGAUCGAAGAGAAGUCUUCGAAGGGGACAAUCACGGUUACACAAACAGUUGGCAAUUUUAUUAGCUUAUGUUUAAGUUAUCUAUAAGCGGAUGUUAACAAAUAUUCCAAGUUGCCACAUAACCGCGGGCACGACUUUCCGAAAUAUUAAACCCUGCAGGCGUGCUCCAACUAGUCCAUCACAAAUGGUCACGGGCCGCAAAGUAAUCCUCUAUCACGAAUCUCGUGAUCUCGUCGGAUUCCUUAGAGGAAAACCUCAACUCUGGGGAGAACCAAAGCUUCACCGGGAUUCCUAUACACAAGAUAUAUCGCUAAGGUAAGACAAGAUUAGCAGGACCUCCCGUCGUGUCGACGACCCCGAUAAGAGCCGCGUAUCUCAGUCUCAGGACACGACGGAUGAGCUACGCGCACGAUGGCCUGAUAGAAAUCACUCAAGUUGCCCUGAGUUGGCCCCGAACAGUGCUCAUUUUGGACCAACACUCAUGAGGAGCACUGGCCCGGGUUGUUGAUUAACUCCUCGGGGUGAUCAUUCCCUAUGCAGAUUAUUAUUAAGUGAUUAGCAAAUUAACACCAAUGUUGGGUCCCUCCGGACAAGUCUUAACACUACACGAUUUAUCAAGGGGGUCCCCAUAACAACCCCGAACGUGUUAGGAGCGAACAGUUAUGGAAUCAAACACUCGUAGCCGGAAACUAUGGCGGCAAUAACGGAACAAAACACCCGGAAAAAGGCUAAGCCUUCCGUUAUUUACCAAGUAUAUAGGUGCAUUAAUUAAAUAAUAGAUUAACAUAAUGAUAUCAACUGAUGUUAUCACAUGAGACAAAGCACCUGCAACUAGCAACGCUGACAUUAGUAGCUGAGCAAAGCCUACUUAGCCGUUCAAGAUUUGCUAGGAGGGGAAAGUGUUUGGUUUUCAUGGCAAUAUUCAGGAGGCAAUUAUUUCAGUGGUAGGCAGCGAGCAUAUGACAAGGAAACGUGAAUCUAGCAUAACAAGUCUAGAGAUGGAAUCAAGAUCAUAUCAUCUUGCGUGUGAUGUCCUCAGCUUGGAAUUGCUCUGGUUCGUCCUGCACGUACUCUCCCGGAUCCACGUACUCAUUCUCUGAUCCCGGUGCUACCCAACAUAAAAAUAACAUCCAAUGAAUAACAACACUUCAAGAUGCAACAAGCACAUGAUGCAUGAGAUGAAAAUGAACAUGCACCUCUAUUGUACUCACUUGAACAUGCUUGAGAAGGAGAUACAAGUUCCUGGACAAAACUGCACUCUAAGCUAUCUUGUCAUGUAUGAGGAUGACAUGAACAGAAGCGUCACGCGAAAAUGAUGCAAAAACAUAUAAAGAACGUUACGUUCGGAGCUACGGAUCAACCGGAAACAAUGAAACAAGAAAUAGAGUCCUACGUGUCAAAUUCGUCACCACACACUCCAAUGGCAUACUUCUGCUAUUCCCAGGUUGCCAUAUCACAAAACAAACAAGAAUGGAUGGGGUGGUGCAAAGAAUACCACCACACCAUCAACUAUGCACUCCCAAGCAUCAAACAUCAAAACUAUACAAUCUGCCAUAAGCAACAUCAUAGCAGUUUGAGAGCUACAUGCAAAGCACCUACAGCUGCCCAAAUAUGCCAAAUAGGAUAUGUGGCAGAAGCUAUCCAAGAGUACUAGAAGCAUGAGCAAAAAUCUAAUUCGAAGGAGUUUCAUACGGAAAGUUACACAGCUGCUAACUUGGCCAAAAAUAUUAGUUUCCAGGGACUUAGUGAAAAUCUCAGAUUCUCACUAGCUGUUUAUGCUCUGAAGCAUUUUGACAGCACCCAAAACAAUAUCUACAGGAUUCCAAAUGGAAUGAAAAUUGACAGAUAGCUAUACAAAUACAAAAUCUACAACUUCCCAGUUGAUAGCUAGGGCUGAUUCCCAACACAUGGUCUUCUACAAGCACAACAACAGGAGAAGAAAAUAUAAGCAGAUUCCCAGACUUAGUGAAAAUCUGUGAUUUUCACUAAACUGGAAUUUUUAGUCACAUGCCUACUUUGACUAGGCACAACUUGCACACAUGAACUCCUAAGCAUGAAACAAAACCAACAUGUGGUAGAAGGGUUCACCCUCUACCGCCACAACAAAGAAUCAACCUCUUGGGCUCAUCACAUCACAUGGAACCAAGCUCUAAACAUGGAACAAAACUGAAAUAUGACAUUCCCAGAAAGUGUUCCAAAGGCAAAACUUACUUCACCAAUGGAUUCAUGGGAUGAUUCUACCCCAAAAACAUAUAUAAUACAUAUGCACUUGCAUAGAAUAAUUGGGCACAAGGCUAAGAAGAAGAUAAGCAUGGAUUCACAAGGUGUGAAUAGUGCAUCAUCACAUGUGCUAUUCAGUAAAACAACACCUACAUAUCCACUUGCACACUAUCAACACUACAAUGGUGCACAUGAGGGUUAUCCCUCAUGCUCAUGUGCCUUAGCAAACCACCACACACACACACAAGCAUCAAGCACAACAUAAUAUAAACACCUACACAUGCUAAUGGGAACACCCACACUAGAUUACACCACAACAUCUAUACACCUUCACAUAUAAACAUGCUCAUGUGCUCAUCAAGGCACUCCAUGCCUUGAGCAUGUGUGGGACACACACACACCAUCUCACACAACAACACAAGAGCACCUACAUAUACACAAGGUAGGUGAGGGCGGAAACCCACACACACACUCACAUCACAUACUUGCACAAGAUAGGACAUAAGNNNNNNNNNNNNNNNNNNNNNNNNNNUGCAUAUCUAUAGCCUAGUGCAACACACAACUAAACACACCCACACAUACAUGUCAUCUAGCUCACAAUGCACAUACAUACAUAUCACUACACAUGCAUAUUUACAUAGCUAGAGAAAUACUAGGAACCUGCUAGAAUAAAUCCAGCAACCAAAACUUGCCUCACAAGCAUGCUGCAGUACAAUAUAGCAAGCAAACAAAACAAACAGGGAAGAAAUGCACAAAAAAAGGACAGGGGAGGGAUCGAACCCUAGAGCCCCUGAUCACCACCUGCACCUCAUACCACUGCGCUAUGGAACAGUCACUUGACAGAUAAGGAAAGCCUAGCAGGAUAAGGUGAUACACGCUGCUCUGUUACUGUGCCGAGAGAAAAAUAGCACAAAAAGGGGGGUUUGGCGCCGCGGGGAUUCGAUCCCACAACCACCUGAUCCACAACAAACACUGCACCACUAUGCCGCGCUACUAUACUUGACAGAGAGGAGGAACUCUCCAAGGUAAGACAUCGAAGCCGGCCUGCUCUGCUACUCACAGAGACGCCGACGGCAGCAAGCCACCGGAGCAAACCUACUUGCUCUACUGCUGCUCUACGCGCGGGGAUCCAUCUACACUACAACUACUACGCUGUUGGAGGCCCCGAGCCACGACGAGCCAAGCACAACAACACAAGAACGACACACCACCUGCACCUGCCCUCGUGCUCUUCUCUGAACAGAGAGGCACGACCUCGAUCUCCUACGCGCAACUACCGAGGAAGAAAAGAGGAAGAUACUAGCUCUCACCUAGGGGAAGGAGGAGAGGUUGCCGAUCGGGGAAGAGGCCUGCCUGGAGAAGAACGAAGACGACCUGAAGCGCCUGACGAAGAACUCUGCAGAACCAAAGCAGGGAGGAACAGGCCGCCGGGAACACGCCGUUGACGUGGUCCUGCCCGUCGCUGUGGUCGCGCUUUGACCUCAACAACAACGGGAAUGGAACGCGGGGCCUACCCCCGAGCCCCCUGACAUGAUGGCCGACACCGAAGGCGGCGGAUGCACGGGAUCGACGACGGCGCACUACUGCCCUCUAUGUGUACCUGGAUCUACAGGAGCUUACCUUGGGGAAGGAGGAGAAGGAUGGAGACGGCAGCGCUAGAUGGGGGAAGCAUGGAACCCUAGGGCAAGGGGGCACGAACGCCGAGGGUUAUAAGAGGGCCUCGACGUCUGUGAGCCCUCACGGCAUGCUCGCUCCCUCUCUGCUGCGUGACGGAAAGCGACGCACGGGGAGACGCCGUCUGAAGAAGGAGAAGGAACGCGUGCCUGGGCUGCCGCGGGGGGGGGGGAGAGAAGCUAGGCCUGCUAGUGGGAGGAGGCCCACUAGUUGGCGCCAGGUAGAAGGAAAUAAACCCAUGGGGUUUAUUAAUUAAGCCAAGACCAGACAAACAAAACAAAUGCACAUGCUAAACAGAUAAAGCUAAAAUUAAAUCAAAAAUACCCCUGGUCAUAAGAAAUUAUGACCUAUUUAAAUAAAAUAGAAAAGAAAUAUUUGGAGCAAUUAAAUAUUUACAAAACAACAUUUAUAUGAUAUGUUUUGGGAAUAUUUGCACCUUUAAAAUAUAGAUUCAAAACAACCAAUUCACAUCUUCACAUCCACCACAAAGUAUACUAAAUCAUGGACAUUUUUUAAAACAAGGAUGGGACAAGUGAAGCUUGACCUUGAGAUAAAUAAAGAGGAAGAUGGUUUUGAAGCCUAUGCAAACCACAUAGUUUCCUACUAGCAAUUGCACCACUCCAUUACUCACAUACACUAUCAUCACAUGACAUAUUCAACACACCACAUACCCACAUGGAUUCACAAAGGCACAAACACAAGACAUGGGUGAAUGAUAGAUGCAUGCAAGCAAAGGAAGAACAAAACAAUGUGACAUCACAUGAAAUCAUAUGCAUUGAGCUCUCAUAUCAAUGACAAGGUGGACCCACAUAGAGAAGGUUCCAGAUAUGGCAAGAUACACUCUUGGGGCAUUACAUGAAGGCAUUUGGGUUUAUACAAGUUAUUGGAGAAUCUUGUAUUUACAAGAGAGUGAGUGGGAGCUUUGUAGAGUUUCUUAUAUUAUAUGUGGAUGACAUAUUGCUGAUUGGAAAUAAUGUGGAGUUUUUAGAGAGCGUAAAGGAUUACUUGAACAAAUGUUUUUCAAUGAAAGACCUAGGAGAAGCUGCUUACAUAUUAGGCAUUAAUAUCUAUAGGGAUAGAUCGAGGUGCCUAAUAGGACUUUGACAAAGCACAUACCUUGAUAAAGUUUUGAAGAAGUUCAAAACGGAGCAGUCCAAGAAGGGGUUCUUGCCAGUGUUACAAGGUAUAAAGUUGAGUAAGACUCAGUGUCCGGUAACCGCGGAAGAUAGAGAAAAGAUGAGUAGCGUCCCCUAUGCUUCAACCAUCGGGUCUAUCUUGUAUGCAAUGUUAUGCACAAGACCGGACGUCAGCCUGGACAUAAGUAUGGCACGCAGGUUUCAAAGUAAUCCAGGAGUGGAUCACUGGACGACGGUCAAGAAUAUUCUGAAAUACCUGAAAAGGACUAAGGAAAUUUUUCUCGUUUAUGGAGGUGACGAAGAACUCGUCGUAAAGGGUUACGUCGAUGCAAGCUUUCACAUUGAUCCGGAUGACUCUAAGUCUCAAUCCGGAUACAUAUUUGUUCUUAAUGAGGGUGCGGUAAGCUGGUGCAGUUCCUAGCAAAGCGUCGUAGCAGAUUCUACAUGUCAAGUGGAGUACAUGGCUUCCUCGAAGGCAGCUAAGGAGGGUGUCUCGAUGAAGCAAUUCAUGACGGAUUUUGGAGUUGUGUCGAGUGCACUAAAUCCAAUAACUCUGUUCUGUGACAACACUGGUGCCAUUGCUCUAGCCAAGGAACCAAGGUUUCACAAGAAGACCACACACAUCAAAGGACGCUUGAUACGUCUCCAACGUAUCUAUAAUUUUUGAUGGUUCCAUGCUAUUAUAUUGUCUUCUUUGGAUGUUUUGCAUGCCUUUUAUAUAUUUUUUGGGACUAACUUAUUAACUCAGUGCCAAGUGGUAGUUCCUGUUUUUUCCAUGUUUUUGACCCUUUUUCAGACGGAGUCCAAAUGGAAUGAAACUUUACGAUGAUUUUUUUGGACCAAAAGAUACCCCCAAAGC